CGUGUCACGAAUCGAGGGCUCAGCCCAAUAAAAAUUUCCACGUGGCGGACGCUAAGACCGUCAUUUGCUAAAAAUAAAAAACUCUGGAUAAUGUACAACGUCAGAAAUUGUACGACCAAUUGACCCCGGAGUACCGGAAGGGACGCGAUAAUAAAUAUUUGUAAAAGUAAGGGCUUUAAUGUUCGGGGGGAUCUUCGUCUAUUUCGUCUGGCGCCCAGAGAACGACACGUGACACUAUCGAAGUCAGAUCUCUUGACGCGUGGCACCAGGAGUCACUCUCUUUGAUUGGACUUAUCUCUCCCCUCUCUCUUUCUCUCUCUACCUUUCGUUGGCAGAACUCGUCAGCACGAUCGGCUACCAAACAUCGAGAGGGGACCGGACGGAGGUGAUUCCCCACGAGGUACACGCGUCGACCAUCUGCCCGGUCAAACAAUAAUGAUGAGCUAAUUCUGGUGGUCCAAUAGUCAACAGAUCCAAAGAAGACGCGUGCUAGUUGGGAAGAUCUCGCUGUUUUCUAGCACGUGGAGGGACCAGAAAUACUUACACGUGGCGCGACCUCCUGGCUUUUAACAUCAGUACACGGAUGCGAGUCGAAUCGCACCCCGCCGGUACAUCUGCGGGCCCUGGCGCUGGACAUCUCGUUACUUCAAAAUACUAGGAAGAAAAUAUAAAAUAUCAUAAAAUUGAUGCCAUGUAGUGAGUAUCUAGGAGUGGAAAAAUGAAAGACACACAAUUGAAUGAUUUUCAAUCAAUAAAUUAGUUGGAUCGUAAUAAAUGUUAGCGUAAAUGCCUUCUUGUGUAAUUAAAAAAUAUACAAGACGAUUCAUCAUCCUAAUAAAUUAAAUUCAUUUUUUAAUAUUAUGUUAUAAUAUUAUUUAAUUAUAAUAACAUACAUUUGAAUGCCAUGCUUCUUUUUAUGACAUUAGGAUUUAAAGCAUGUUGACCAAUUUAUUUUAUGAAAACCUCAAUUUGAUGUGGUGAUGUGAUAUCUCUUGUUCUUACUGUCUGCACUUUAGUUCUUGAAUAAUCUCAAGAAUAAGUUUUUAUCCUACCUUAUAAAGCAAUGAUAAGCUCUACAUUUAUUUUAACAUUCUUCUAAAUUAUUUUGAGACAUCAACUAAACUUUUGAUGAGCUAAAUUAAUGAUAAUUGAGAGUGAAAAAUAAAGAGAGAGAAUUUUUAGUUGGGAUGUCUGAAUAUAUUUGCAUAUUUUCUCAUAAAAAUAUCAUAUUUUGGCUGAUAUUUUAUUUAAAUUAUAUAAUUAUUUUUUGCAUCAAGCAGAGUCACUAUAAAACCUAAUAAAAAAACAUAUUUGGUCACAUGACAUUUUGAUAAAGAUAUUAUAGAAUAAUUGAGAUAUUAUAUUAGAAAAUAAUUUUCACAAAAUGUUCUUUUUUACUUUAAGAAGUAAAAAAACAUAAAGGAAAUAGAGGGCAUCCUAUUAAGAUAAUGAUAUUUUCCUAGCUGAAUUACGUGAUAUAUGUGUUUUAUUCAAAUUAAGGAUAAAAAAUAUGAUAUAUUGAUUAUUUAUAAUUAGUAUAAUAAUAUUUGGAUUAAGAAGAAUGGGAGAGAUAGUCAACAUCCAUCUCCGUUGCUUUUUUAUACCCUUAGAGUCACUAAAUAUCAUUGAAGAGAUUAGUUCUUAAAAAUAACGAUAGUAUAGAUGAAUAAUUGUUGAGGGUAUCACUUAUACUAGGUAGUUACAUUAUUAGAAUUAAGGAAACAAAGCUCUUGCAAUAUAGUACGGAUGGUUCCUUAUAUAAUUACCAGCCCCUAUUUAUUCAUCAAAUCAUGUUUUGAUUAAAAGAAGCAUUGGUCAUUCCAAUGGGAUAAGAGCAUGGGAUCCACUCAUUCAACAAGGUUGAUCCACUAAGGUAUUGAACAUUGUUGUAGCAUUAGAUCUCAAAGAUACUAACUCAUUUUCUUACUCAUUUAAGAAUGUGAGAAAAUUAUUUUUACAAAAAUUGUAUAGGUUGACAUGAGGGUCCAUCAAUUUCACAAAUUGUGCAAUCAAGUUGUCAAUUUGACUAUUUUUUUUAUUAGGUCCUUUUCUAGGCCUAAUAAUGUAGACUUUUUUGGUAUUUAUUUGAUUUCUAAUUUUUCAAGAUAUGUUACCAUUAUUAGAGUUUUUUUUGUCAUUUUUUAGAUACUCUAUUCAUGUAAGAUGUCGAAUUUUUUAGAGAAAAUCUUAUUUUUCUGUCUUCAGUUUUGAUUAGAGUUUUCUAGAUUGACACUUUUUCUUCGCUUGAAAGGUAGAUGAAUUUACACAAGUUUUUAUACAUUGGCACUAUUUCUCUUUCUGUAGAUGGGUUGACACUAUCCAUGUAUUCUUCUUUUUUGUGAUAGGUCUACACAAACUUUUAUAGGCUGCUUGAUUUUCUCUUCCUCUAUUCUUCUUUCUAAAACUCUUCAUUUCUCUUUGAUUUAGUCUUUUUUUAAAAAUAUAUUUUAUGAUGUCUCUAAUCUUCAUAUGAUGUUUAAAAACAUAUUUCCAAAACAAAAAGAACUAGAAAUAAUGAUUUAGAUAUCGAUUCCUAAGUUAGUGCACUACAAACAUAUUAGUGAGAAUUUUUUUAUCAUUAUGUGAUUGAUUGCCAACACCAAAUUUCUUUAAUCAAGAAAAUGUGUCUUAGGGAUGGAAAAUAUACCAAAUCAUCUAUUCUUUAUUUAAAAGGAAAAUGAUCAAGGAGUUGUAUGGAGGGAAUUAAUGUUAUAAUUAAGCCAAUAUCAUAAGAAGAUAAAAAAAUAUAAUAGCCAUUAAGUAUUUUUGGGUACUAAUGAACAACUAUUGGAAUAGUUUAAAAUAAAUUAUUGACGAUAUUGAUUUUUUACUUUUUUAUGCUUCAAAAAUGGAAAAUAUUGUAUUGAAAUAUCAACCACCAACAUUCAUUGUAGGCCCUACAAAAAUAUAAUGUUUAGAUUGAUAUGGAACAAGUAUUAGGUCUAAGCUUUCACUUUACAAGUUCAUAAUUUAUGCUUAAGUCACAAAUAAAACAUUACAAGAUUUAAUUUAAUUUUUAUCUUUUUAUGAAAGGUUCAAAAUGAUAAAGAGAUACUAUGAGAUAUAAAGUUUGUGUACUUGGGCUGACCUAAAAUAGUUAAUCUUGAAAGAAUUUUUAGGUACAUUUGAGUUGAAUUUGCAGAAUAAAUCUAUAAAGAAGCAUUUCAUAUGCUCAAUUUAAGCUAAACCUCUUAGUCUUUAAGAAGUGAGUCAACACUUUGAUACUAGUUGUUGUCCUGAUGAGACAUUAGCAGAACCUAAUAAUGAACACCUUUCAAGAGUGGGGUAGUUAAGGGAUGCAAAAUUAUUAUAUAAAUUCUAAUGUGUUUUCUAUUUUCUAAGAGAGUUGAGUUGCCAUCUCAAAGACAUUUAGUCAGUCAUAUCAUUGCCAUCAUCAUCAUUAGAACAAGAAGGAGAAGAAGAAUUCCAAAAGAGAGAAAAAAAAUUUCAAUUUGGUAUGUAAUUUUAAGUGGAAAUAAAAUACUUAGCUAGAAAAAAUUUCACAAAUGACCCAAUAUUUCAUAGUUUAGAUCAAAUUUCACCAUACUUUACCUUCUAAGUUCUAGAUUUAUAUUGAUACCAUUGAAAAAACAUAAAAUAAAGUUUUCAAAAAUAUAAUUAGGCAUGUUUGAAGGGAAAUCAAUCCCUAUGAAAUAACACUGAAUUUUAAUGUAGCUAAACCCAAUUCAAAAUCUCCCCUUUUUUAGGUUUACUUUUUACCACUCUUAUUAAUAGGUUAUGUGUGAUUUUACAUCACCAAUAAAGGGUGGUGAAUUAGUAAAGUUCUAUUUAUUUCUUUUAUCCUAAUUUUCUGCUCUUCUUUAUAUUUUAAAGUCUACAUUGUAGCAAGAUUAUUUCAUAUACUAUUAGUGAUUUGAUUGCAAGGCAUACUCCAUUCCCUACAAUACUUACACUUUGUGUCAUUUCUUUAGGUUCCACUAAUAUCUCAUUAUAAUACACAUUGAAUUAUGAGUUUUGACAACCUUACAUAUCUAAUUAAACAACUCAAACUCACACAUGAAUCCACAAAGGAAACAUCUUCUAAAUUUAUGGGUGGGGGCUAACAUGAAAGACCAACUCUUUUCAAAUUUCGAGCUCUAUGAGACCCAACAAAAGACACACAGUUCUUCCAGAUUUGAGUCCUAAUGGGGCACAUAAAUAUUAACUAAUGCUAACCUCCUUCUAGAUUCAGACUCUAGAUUGCCCAUAGGUGUAAAUACAAUCUAAGCACAAAGUAGAAUGAGUUAUUGUACCUAAAUAUUUUGCACAAUACUUCUAAAAGCUCCACUAAUUUUCAUUGGAGAAGUUUGAGGGAGUUAUUUUGGCAUUGAGCAUAAUAAAUUGAUGAAGCUUUUUGGUACUUAAUUGUUCAACAAUUUAGUGUAGAAUCUUAGAAGAAGGUGAGUGUUGAAACUCACUCUUGAUGUAGGUAAAAUAACACCCAUCCUCCCUCUCUCUCUUGUAUUACCAAUUUGAGUAGGGAUCUUUCUUUAUAUAAAGAGUUUUUUGAGCCACACCUAAUUUCCAAGUUAAUGGGUUACUUCAACAAUUGUUGAACAAUCUGAAAAAUAUCACAUCCCAUGUAUGUAUUUUAAACUCUAAAAAUACAUGUUGAUGUUAUGAAAUUCAUAUCAAUUGAAUUUCUUCUUUUUAAUUAUGUUAUUUUUUCUAUUGGGCUCCUCUUUUAGAAAGCUUUGCAAUCUCCUUCUUGAUGUCCAUUAUUCCAAUUAAUGUAUAACAUUUAUUCUAUCAAACUCAUACACAAAUUAUGAUAAAUUACACUUAAAUUAAACUCCUUAACUAAUUCAGACCUAGGAAGUGACAUUUCCACCCUUGAAUAAGUUGCACUUAGAGUAGUCAAAUCUUAUUAGAUACUCAACAAUCAAGAUCACCUAUUAAAAAAUUCUAGUCCAUGUGGAGUUAUAUAAAAUAGAUCCAUGUAUGUGGCCAUCAUCAAAAUAUAUUAGGCUAACCAAAGCCUUCAGUUAAAAGUUAAAUUCUUUGAAGGCGUUUAAUUAAAAAUUUAGGUAAUAUAAGAACAUGGAUUGGUCAGUAUAUAUAUUGACUUGAGCAACUUGAACAAUAUUUAGUGAUGUUGAAAAACAAAAACAACAACUAAUUUUAACGAUUCAAUUGGUGACCCAAAUUAGUUUGUUUGAUCUGGUGAGAUUUGGAGAAAAUUAUAAAAUUUGUGAGAGUAUGUUUGCUUCUCAUAAUUUGAGGCAUUGAUAUCAUGAUGAUGUAUAUUACCUACUAUAAGACGUUUAGUAAGAUAGGUUUUUUCAAAAAAAUAUUUUUUUCCCUUUUUUGUGCAAUAAAUCUCUUGGUCUUUUUAAAAUGUCAACAUUGGGAAUGUUAUUGGUUAGGAAUUAGGGUUUCAUUGCUAUGAUGAUCGCUGAACCUCAAAACCUACCAUUAUGUUUCAUUACUUAGCGUCCUAAUUGUUGUUAGAUCCUCACAAUAGUUAGUAUCUAGGUUGUACAUGCCAACUAUGAGGAUUUGAUCUAUAGAUCAAUCUAGUUGGUGUUGACCUUUGAGAUACACGCGUUGAGCCAAUAAAUUCUACUUCCCUAAUGCAUAAUUAUUGAUCCUCUUAGGCUAGAUGUCACCAUUACUUUUGUGAUUGUUGACAUGCAAAAAUUAAGACUUUACAAUCUCAUUAAUUUGAUGAUUUCUUACGACCAAGCCUUCUGAGUCAUCAAACGAUGCUGGUCACACGAAUUUAGGGGGCUAAAAGAUGACCAAGAAAACAAUGGUUAUGCCAUUUCGCAUUUAAAUUAUUUUAUGGUAAAAAAAAUUAGAAAUCGGGGAACUUAAGAACCCUCCAUUGACUUUUCCAUCUUUCGUACUUUGAAAUCUCUCCUUACUGGCGACCGGAUCUCGUUUAGUUGGUUGCUCCAGCUUUGCUUGUAGUCCUCCUCUGCAAGGCUUGGGAGCUCCGGUCUCCUCCCCUUUCGUUCAUCCGAGCCGUGGGGAGGCGAGUGGGGGCUUCUACCAGCGAGGUGAAAUCGGAUCCUUGUGUCGGCUCCGCUGUCCUCCGGCGGACGCUGGUCCGUGGCUCAGCUGCGAUUCGCAGCCGUCCUCCGCUUUCUCCGGUUCUCGCCCCACGCCUUCUCGAAGGAACCAGCCCAGUAGGUAUUCAUUCUACUUUGGAUCACAAACAGCGGCGUGGACUCCAUACGCAUAAUCGGUUGUAAUAGGGUUCUUGAUUUGAACUGCUUCCGCGAACUAGAAGCGUUUCCUUGAACUCGUAAUAAAAAAUGCCCAGAGAAAUCUGGAAGAUUUUGCCACGGAAACUGGUAGAAUCCCAUGAACAUUCCGUCCGAUCGACCAUUUUUUUUAGAAUGAGUUUUAUUAUUGUGAAUUUUUUGGGUGAUUUCUCUCAGGGCAUCUGAUUGAAAGAUGAUCACGGUAGAUGUUGGUCCGCCAGUGAUGGCGUUCCUCAAGUUAUUAUGGGACGCAAUGUCUCAGGAGGCUGGCUUUCUCAACAAUGUUGGAAAAAUUUUAGAGAAUUUAGAGAGGAAGAGGGAUGAACUGGUCACCCGGGCAAACAGCGUGAUUAGAGAGGUCCAUAGAGCUGAAUUGGAAGGAAAAAUCCCCACCUAUGAGACUGUGGAAUGGAUGAGACAGGUGGACGAUGUAAAGAAAGAAGUCAGCGAUGCAGAGAAGCAGAUCAUGGCAGUGGAGAAGCUCGCUGAAACAUGCUUCCCGGGCUGCAGGGCGCGUCGGAGGCUUGGCAGACGAGCUCUGAAGCUCAUGCAGCAGAUGGGAGAGCUGGUCCGGACAAGCCCUUUUGCUGGCGGGCUGACUGUCGAUCAGCUUCCAGUCAUUGGCCAUGUCUUACCGGCGAUGACGUUGGUGGGAGAGACCACAGCGAAGACGACAUUGGAGAACCUCUGGAAGCUGGUCACGGACAGGAACGUAGGCAAGAUCGGCGUCCAUGGGAUGGGAGGGGUCGGAAAGACGGCCAUCGCCAAGCACAUCAACAACCGCCUGGCCGAGUCCGAGAUCUUCGGCAGCAUCAUAUGGGUCUCCGUGUCGAAGCCCUUCAGCUUGGCGAGCUUGCAGGCUGAUGUCGCCCGAGCCAUUGGGCUGGACCUGUCCCAGGAACCCAACGAGGUCAGAAGGUCCACCAAGCUCUUCGAGCAUCUGAACAGGAGGAAGAAGUUCGUCCUCAUCCUGGACGACAUGUGGGGGGCUUUCUCUCUGGAUCUGAUCGGAAUUCCGCAGCCGAAUGCCGAGAACGGCUGCAAGAUCCUGCUGACCACCCGCUCGGUGCAGGUCUGCCGGGAGAUGGAGACGAGCAUCAAUAUAAAGGUCGAUCUGCUCUCAGAGGACGAGGCAUGGGAGCUGUUUAAGGAAAAGAUCGGUGGAGACGCAGUGCUCUCCCCGGAUAUACAGCCCAUCGCCGAGAUGGUUGCUAAGAAGUGCGGGCGCCUUCCCCUGGCGAUCAUCACCGUCGGAAGAGCGCUCAGGCAGGUGGACGACGUGAGGCUGUGGAGGCACACUCUGGCCGAGCUGGAGCACCCCAACAGUGAGGUAAGAUCCAUGAAGCAGGAGGUCUUUGGGCCUCUCAGAUUCAGCUACGACCAUCUAAAAGACAAGCUUAUCCAAGACUGCUUCCUGUGCUGCGCGCUGUUCCCCGAGGAUCACAAGAUCCCCACUGAUCAGCUGAUCGAGUACUGGAUGGGGGAGGGGCUGAUCGGCGAAAAUGGGGACAGGCAGGCUGAGGUCGACAAGGGGUACGCCCUGUUGAACGAGCUCAAGGACGCCUACAUGCUGGAGGGCAUGGCCGGCGCUCUCGGCGAAGAAUGUGUCUGGAUGCACGACUUGAUCCGAGACAUGGCACUCCAUAUAAUGAGGGAGCUCGGCUCCUUCUUGCCCAGGGCCGGGGUCAGACUGAAGCAUUCGCCCAAGCAGGAGUGGCUCCAGGAGUACGAGAGGGUCUCGUUGAUGGAGAACAAGGUCGAGGUUUUAUCAUCCAGACCCAACUGCCCAAAGCUCGCCGUGCUGCUGCUCCGGGGGAACCCACUCUGUAGGAUCGAAGAAGAUUCUUUCUUUGCCGGCAUGCGCAGUCUCAGAGUUCUCGACCUCUCCCACACCCUGAUCGACUGCUUGCCGGAGUCGAUCACUGAGCUGGUGAACCUCCGCACUCUGUUCCUGGGCUCCUGCAGGAGGCUGAAGAACGUGCCCUCGCUGGAGACGCUGCAGGAGCUGAGGGUGCUGGACAUGUCUCACACGCCCAUCGAGAAUCUGCCCCCGGGAGCCGACGGCCUGGUCAAGCUGCGGCGCCUGGACCUGUCGCACACGGAGAAUCUGAAGAUGUUCCCCAGAGGGCUGCUGGCCAAGCUCCCCCUUCUUGAAGACCUGUCUACGUACAGGAGCUCCUGGCUGUGGCUGUCCGCAGCGGAGGAGAUGGAAGGCGGCGCUGGAAUAGAAGAGAUCAUCAGCUCCCAGCAGCUGUCCAAUCUCAGUCUAUCUUUCUGGGACUUGGACACAUUCUCAAGAUACAUGGUCUCUGGUCACUGGAAGACGCUCAGGAGAUUCAAUCUUAUGGUGGGAUGGAAGUCAGCUUUCUGGUACUCGAAAUCCCCGUACUCCGUUGAGAUCGUCAGCGAGGGCCUUCUGAGCCAGGGGAGCUCCCUUCUGCUGCCCUGCAACACCCAGAGACUGCACAUAGAGAACUGCCAUGACGUGCUCUGUUUGUCCGAGAUAUCGAGCCUGUUAGAACUGUCUGCGCUGAGGGACUGCUCUGUGUACACCUGCUGGGGAAUCGAAUGCCUGGCGACGGCGAAUGGGAACCCCCUCUCGAGCAUCGAGAGGCUGAAUAUCUGGGAUCUGCCCAAUUUGAGCUCCUUGUGCCAGCAGAAGGUCCAAACCAGCACCUUCGCUGGGCUCAGGAUCUUGGAAAUCGGCUCCUGCGAUAGCAUGAGGAGCGUCUUCCCGCUUCCCCUGUUGCGGCAUCUGCAGAAGCUCGAGCAGCUUCGAGUGGUGAGCAGCGCUUCCGUGGAGAAGAUCAUUGCAGGCGAGGAGAAGGCAGAGGCCGUGGCGCUCCCGAGCUUGAAGAAGCUCGACCUGAAGUAUCUCGCCGAACUGACGAGCAUUUACAGUGGGGAACUCGUCUGCGAUUCAUUGAUCGCCAUCACUGUGGAGAAGUGCCCGAAGCUGAAGAGGCUACCGAUCUCCGUCGAUCAGGUUCCUCCCAUGCUCGAGGUGAUCAAGGGGGACAGGGAGCUGCUUGAUUCCCUGUGGCAAGAUGACAGCCGUAGCAGGGCAUUCUUCCAGAAGUACUGCAGAGAGUGCUGACGCGGCGGCGGCCGGCCUUCGGGUUCACCGUCGGCGACUUGGAACUGACGACCUUGUAGUCGCUGCCGUGUGGAGAUGAACCGUUGACUCGGGACAUCCUGCAGAGAGAUAAAGAUUCCCACUUGGUUGACCCGGUCGUCGCACCCAAGAGCCGAGCUCGUGGCGAUCGAAGAAAAGGACACCUCGCCCAUGACUUCCCGGAGAAAUCCUACGCCACUGGCGAUUCUCGCAUCACCGCCCGGAGGGAGCGAUGGCUUCCGGCAGGCUGGAAAGGGGACCUUCGGUGGCGGUGGCGGUGGCGGGAAGGCGGGGCCGGGCGGCGGUCAUCUGGGCGGCGGAGAACCUGAUUCCCCACGCCGGCCGUACCCUCCUCCUCCACGUCGUUCCCUCUCCCUCCGUAAUCCCCGGUCAACGUGAGUGAGCGGCCUCUCCUUAUCCUUUCUUCCCCAAUCCUUCGCCUCCGCUCGGAGACCCUUCGCCUGUUCGCUGAGAAUUGGUGGGGUUUGGUUGCAGGGGGGAAGCAAGCUGGAAGCCAUGGCGGCGAGGUCUACGAGCGGGACAGGAAGGCGCUGGCCCUCAAAGAAAUCCUCCCAUUUAAGAAGCUCUGCGGGGCGGAGAAUCAGGUUCUUCCUCUGUCUUCUUCCUUCUGGCUACAACCUUUCGCAAUUCCGCCGCCAGAAUUGAGAAUCUGUUCUCUUCAUGAUCCUCGCUGUGGUAGGUGGAGAUUUCGCUACUCGACGGCGACGACCCUGCGGCUGCGCUCUUGGGAUACGUUGCGGCUUACGGCAUCGAGAAUCUAGUUCUGGGUGGUUCUUCCUCGACCUGGUUCAAGAGGUGACCUUCCACUUGGAGAUCGAGCCUUCCUGAGAAUUUUUCUGAAAGAACAUUCGCAUUUUUAUUCACCCUUCUAGGCAAAAACAUCACUUUGCCCAAGUGAAAUUAAUACUUCUUUUUUAAGAAAUUAUUUGAUGAUAUGUUCUAUCGGUCUGCCCCAUGCUCGAAUCAUCUGAAUUUUUUUUAUGAGAACUCUUUUUUUUUUUUUCCUACAGAGGAAUAUUUCCGCGAAUCUCUUCCUCUAUUGUUCUUAGCUUUUAACCAGAAUAUUUAUUUCUCGAUCUUUAUCUGAAAAUUCUCAGGGUUCUAAGGAAGCCAGAUAUGGCAACAAGCUGCCUCCGGUCAGCCCAGAGCUCCUGCAACAUCUUCGUCGUCUCAGAGAACAAGAUCACCGUGAAAAUGGUCAAUAAUUCAGUCACGAAUGGUAAUUUACAUAAUUUUUUUUAUCAAAUUAUUCACCAUCUAUUGCAGUAUUAGGCAGUAUGAUCUCGUUGGGCUCUCUGGGGCCGAAGAUAGUUUUGGAAAUUUUUAUAUCUUGAUGAAACACUUUCUCUGCAAUUCGACGAAUAAUGCUGCUCUGCAUGCCUCAGCUCAUGGGACUGGAGGCUGUCAAGCUCUGUACCCUUCUUCAUGGCGUCACAGGGGAGAGCAGUCGAAAUAUCAUCACUUACUCGGUUGGCUCCUCGGGUCUCGAGCUGAUGACUGGCGUGGCUCACUGGGCUCCUUCAAGAAGAAGCAGCCGAUGCUCGAAAAGUCAACUAGUCAACGAAGUCAACUCAGUCAGGUAGGGCGACCUCUUCCAGGGAUGAUGCAGCCUUCUUCUAGUUUACGGUGGAUGAACAUCCUUUUCUCAGAACGAAGAUCUGAGGGAGGCGGAGAACGCGAGGUUGGAGCUGCAGAGCACGCUCGCCACAUAUGAUGAAGCCCGUGAAGAUCUGGCCCAGUGCGGGCCGAAGGUAAUAGCACUGGUUGAUCCUCCCCUGGUUUCUUCACCAUGGCUGUUGAUCCUGAAGCACACUGGUUGGGUUUAAUUUCUGUGCAGAAUGGAGACCUGGAGAAGAUGGAAAGCUUGAGGAUGAAGCUUGAAGACACUCUCGCCACGUACGAUAAGGCCUGUCGGAAGCUGAUCCACAGAAAACUGAAGGUAUCCAUGGAUUUUGUGUGGAUUUAGCCGGACCCAGAUGAUCGUAGAUGAGGAUGGGUGGAGACGAUCUGAGCCGGAUCUCUGUGUUGAUGUCGUCGGCAGGUCCAGAAGCUCUCUGCGGAGUGGUCCGAGGAAGCCAGGAGAGUGAAGGAUGCUCUGCUGAGGGAGGAGGUGAUGAAGCGGAUCGUGGCCGAGGAGGCGAUGAAGCACCUGGAAGCCGUCAAUGAAGUCAACGAAGCGAGGGAGAUCCUGGAGAAAGAGGCGGCGGGUCGGCUCAAGGCGGAGGAUCACGUCAAGGAGCAGGCUUCCCAGAAGAGGAAGGUCAUGGAGGCCGUUCUGUCCAUCGACAGGAGGUACAGGAGGUAUUCCAGGGAGGAGAUAGCCGCCGCCACCGACGACUUCUCCCCGGAGAAGAAGAUCGGCGAGGGAGGCUACGGCAGCGUCUAUGGGGCCUUCCUGGACCACACCCCCGUCGCCGUGAAGGUCCUCCGCGAGGGCGCUACAGAGAAGAUGGAGGAAUUCAUGAGAGAGGUACUGAUCUUCCCGUGAUCGACCCUCUGAAGACCGCUCGUCUUGCUGAUCUUUCCUGGCAAAUCUCUUCCAGGUGGAGGUUCUAUGCGGGCUGCACCACCCGAACAUCGUCCUGCUCCUGGGGGCCUGCCCGGAGAUGGGCUGCAUCGUGUACGAGUACAUGGAGAACGGGAGCCUGCAGGACCAGCUCUCCCGCCGCGGCGGCGGGUCGCCGCUGCCCUGGGGCACCCGCUUCCGCGUCCUCUUCGAGGUGGCCCGAGCCCUCGCCUACCUGCACGGCUCCAGCCCCGAGCCGGUGAUCCACCGGGACCUCAAGCCGGGGAACAUCCUGCUGGACCGCAACUUCGUCGCCAAGAUCGGCGACGUGGGCCUGGCCAAGUUCAUGCCGCGGGUGGCGCCGGACGGCGAGACGGAGUUCAAAGAGACCGUCGUCGCCGGCACGCUCCACUACAUGGACCCCGAGUACCAGCGCACGGGGACGCUGCGGCCCAAGUCGGACCUCUACGCCUUCGGGAUCAUCGCCCUGCAGAUGCUCACCGGCAGGCCGCCGGCGGGGCUGGCGGUGACGGUGGAGAACGCAGUCGGAGGGGGCUCCCUCGCCGCCGUGCUCGACCUCUCGGUGCCCGAUUGGCCCCUCCCGGAGGCGGAGCAGCUCGCGGAGAUCGCUCUGAGAUGUACCCAGCUGCGGUGCAGGGACCGGCCGGAGUUGGAAGCCGACGUCCUGCCGGUGCUCGAGCGGCUCUCGGCGGCGGCCGACGCCUGCCCCAGCGCCCGCGGCCCUGCCCACUUCCUCUGCCCGAUUCUUCAGGUACCAGAAACCCUACUUCCUGCACUGCUUCCUUCCUUCCCCUUCUGAUCUUCCUCCCCCCUCCUCUCUCUCCUCCUCCAGACGCCGAUGGAGGACCCGUACAUCGCCGCCGACGGGUUCACGUACGAGCACAGGGCGAUCAGGGCCUGGCUGGAGGAGAAUCGGACGUCCCCUGUGACCAAGCUGGAGCUGCCAGACGCGACCAUAAUUCCCAACCAUUCCCUCCGCCUGGCCAUAGAGGAAUGGAGGUCGGUGUAGCAGGCACAGAUAUGGAAAAGGAAGCAUUUUUAAGCUGUUUCUCGAUACGAUUGCGGCCGGCCCGCGGGGGGCGGCUUCUCCUGGAUAUGGGCAUCAAUUAAUCGUGAUUAAUAAUUUAUUUAUUCGGCCUCGCUUUAUUUACUUAUACGCGAUAAUUACGGGGGAUUCAAAAUUCUGACCGAAUCCUGUGGUCCCCACAGCGUCGCCGAUUGUCGUACGUUAGAUCAGAUUAGGACGCCCCGGAUCAGCCGUGGUCUCUCAGUGGGAGGGAGCCGUUACGAGGGCGGUGGGGGACCAGUGGCACGUGUCAAGGGGAGAGAGAGCAGGCGGUUGGACGUCACGUCUUCCGUGCGUUUCCCGCCGAAGCGGAGCCGCUGCUGCAUUUCGAGAGAGGAAGCCUGGACGGCAGGGACGUCCGGUCUUCUUCCUCUCGGUAGGGUUUUCUCUGCACCAGCUCCGCCAUGGUUUCUCAGAGUACCCGCUCCGAGGGGACUCCCGGGGGAGAAGAUGCAGGAGAUGGUAUGGUCGUUCUGGCUAGCUCACUCCAGAGAGGGGGAGUGGGGAGGAUAGGAUCCAAGCAUCGGACGACUCUGGCGGAAGACGGAGGAGCAGGAGCGGAGGACGGAGGCCUGGAGACGCCUCUAGAGCGCUCCAGUGGAGGACCGGGAGAGGAGGGCGGAGGUGUGGAGAUGUCUCUAGAGUGCACCAGCGGAGGAGCAGGCGCGGAAGAGGGAGGUCUGGAGACGCCUCUGGAGCUCUCCGAUGUAGGAGCAGGAGCGGAGGACGGAGGUCUGGAGAAGCGUCUAGAGCGCACCAGUGGAGGAGCAGGAGAGGAGUACGGAGGUCUGGAGAAGCCUCUAGAGUGCUCGAGUGGAGAAGCAGGCGCGGAGGACGGAGGUCUGGAGACGCCUCUAGAGCUCUCCAGUGGAGGAAAAAUUGUAGAAGACGCGGCAGCCGGUGAAGCGGGGGAAAGGAGGCUUAAGCAACGGCUGGAUUUUGUCAGGGUGUUCGAGCCGAGAGGGUUGUGAUACUUAUAUCUAGCUUCGCGUUGCUUAAAUUAUUUGUGAUGAUUUUCUUGUCCCGACUUAACUUUCCGGGGAGAGAGUUGUCGGUUGAAAACCGAUUUUUCAUAUCCUUAUUUGACGUAGCUGUUCCCAGGUGAUGGUAAACGGCGAGUGAAGAAAAUGAUAAUGACGAUCAUGAGUGUUGAUGUAACUUCGUUGAUCGUUUGCAGGUAUCAGAUCAGCGCGUACGAUGUGGCGGUUCGAAGGAACACUAUAGCUGUGCUGGAGACGGGAUCAGGGAAGACAAUGAUCGCCGUGAUGCUUAUAAAAGAGCUAGGGAAGGAUAUCAAUGCGAACUAUAACAAGAGACUCAUCAUCUUUCUUGCUCCCACUGUCCACCUUGUUAAUCAGGUUCCUUUUUUCUGCUGUUCUUCUGUUUGGUCUUCACGUAGAGGAGAAUUCCGCAAAUUUGAGGUCACAUGUCAUAAUAUAGGCUUCAUAUUCUUUAUCUAUGAGCAGCAAUUCGAAGUGAUCAAGAUCCACACUAACUUUGAAGUGGCUCAAUACCAUGGGGCCAAAGGAGUUGACACGUGGACGGAAGAAUGCUGGAAUAAAGAGAUAUUUGCUCACCAGGUUAUGCUUUUUGUCUCAUUCUUCCAUUCUCCAACUCUACAAUGUUGUUGAAGCAAUGGAGUGUGUAAAUACAAUAUGGAUUUAUAUGAGUGAACCAUUGUCACUGUUUUUUCCUUUACGUGUGUUCCUUGGUGGGUACUGGUUAAGAUUCAAUUCUAUUGGCACCACCAGUAUGAAGUGCCUUUUUUUUCCAGAUUUUUUGGAUAUGGUCCAUGAGGACUGUGCUGUGUAAUGGAAAAGUUAAGCAUAGAAAUGAGGUAUAUAUUUUCAAAUAGAAUAUUGGAUGAGGUAAGAUGGUUUUUGUUUGAUUUAUGUAAAAAUUCAUAUCAAAGGAAACCGUCACUGCUACAUGUUGAAAAAAUAAUUGAUUGAUCUGGAAACUUUUUUUCUGGUGAUAUUGAAAAAUGAAAAUAUUUUCCAGUUAUUUUUUUACACUUAAUUGGGUAAAUUUUGCAAUGAGUCAAUCUCUCUUUGCUAAACAGAAAUGGAACAAAUGAUGGUUAAUGAGCAAAUGGACGAGACUUGUAUGUCUAGAUCCUAUAAUUUUAUUUUUGGGUAUUCAAGGAAAGGUGAGGUAGCCUAUUCUGGCACUGAGACACUUCUGUGUCGUUUGGACCUUGGUUUUUCAUUCUUUUAUCCACUAUUUCUAUUGAAAAUAUGUAGAAUAAUAUGUUAUUUUUCAAUUGGCCCCGUUUAUCUGAAACUAUGGUUUUUGACAUCUAUCUUUUCUAAAAUCAUGUUUUUCUGUGUUGUCCCCUUCUAGAGUUGGAUGGAGAGAGCAGUCAAUAUAUACCCUUUUCAGAUUUAUUUUGUAUUUUAAUAUUUUCUACUGCUUCCAUUUCAGCAGAGUAGUUAACCCUCUUUCUUUCCGUGAAAAGGUGUGAAUCGUUAACCGGUUCUCUUAAACUUAUAUUAGAUGAUCCACUGUUGUUGUAUAGGUAUUGGUUAUGACACCUCAGGUACUAUUGGAUGCUCUGAGACAUGCAUUCUUGACAUUAGAGAUGGUUCGGCUCAUGAUAUUUGAUGAAUGCCAUAGAACCACUGGUAACCAUCCUUAUGCCAGAAUAAUGAAGGUAUUUUGCGAUCUCUUCUUAGAAGAUGGUGUCACUUUUUGCACUGGAAUAUUGAAUUGUAUAUGAAAGGUUUUUGGUUUUCUUGUGAAGUCAACAGCUUUUUCUUUACUGACUAGUAGUAUUAUUAUUUAUGAUUAUACAGGAAUUCUACCAUAGGACUACACACAGGCCGCAUAUUUUCGGGAUGACUGCCUCACCUGUCAUCAGAAAAGGCAAGAAAUCUCUUUAAUCAAUGAGCGAUCAUCAGAACCCCCCUCUUUUCUGUGCUGCUUUUUGUUUUUAUUUUGAAUGUUGCAUUAUUGCAUAGAUGUCUGUAUAUGUACAAAAUAUUACUAUGUUUGAACAUAUUUAGUCAGCUUACGUUGGUAAACUAUCUCAGGCUUCUUAUCAAAAUCUGACACUCUACACUGGAGAAGAAAAUGUACGAUUUAUUUCUCUGUGAAAACUGUUUUAAACAGUGAGCAUCCGGUUGUUUAUUAUUCUGUGGAUAUUCGUAGACAUUUUCCUGUAAUUUCUAACAUUUAACUGAUGUGACAUAUGUAGUGCCUAAUUUCUUGGUGCUCCCUCCCUGAUAUUCUAAUUUCGGGCGCAUCUUUCUAAUUUUGUACUCUGAUAUUCUGAAUUUCUGAUUGUUGUGAUGGCUAGGUCCGGAAAAAAGAAAGAAAUAAAAAAGUUAUGUUUCUUUAUCUCGCUUUAUCUCCAUGUCCUUGUUGUAAAGGCAGGUAAAGAAAUGGUCGAUAAAUCCUUAUCAUUAUCGAUAUAGGUUGCAUGAUACUCCUGUAAUUUAUCUUCUUGUUUGGCGUGGCACUGAAAACUUCGACUAGUAUUUUGGUUGUAACUUCAGACUAUCUCUUAGAGAUGUUGCUUGCCCUUAAUCUUACUUUCCUGCUUUGACUUGCGUCUUUCUCGUUGAAUUUAUCCGUCCGUCUUGUAAAUCUCUCUAUCAAUUUCCAAUCCUUAGGGAAAAAAGUCUUUCUAGAGUUUCUUGAUUCACUAGCCAUUUCUUCUGCAUUAUUUUUUUUAUUUUUUGGUUUUUUCUUUCACAAUAAAACACCUAUGUGCCAUUCCAUCCAUUCAGUUUGUCUAUCGGCUGCAAGGGAAAAUCCAUGAUUUCUUUCGUUGAACUAUCCCUUGAAGGGAAAUAUUCUGACUUACUCUGUUUGUUGUGUAGUCUGUUCUCAAAUAUCUUAACAUAAAUCCUUUCAUAUUUUUCAGUAACCAAUUCUCAAGAAAACAAGAUAUUUUCACUCAAAUCGAGCAAUCAUUUUAGUUAUGAUUGAUUCGAGUUUCCACUAGUAUUAUUUGGUGCAUCUUUGAUUGGCUUUCAGUGUUGAAAGUGAUCAUCUGCGUCCUUCUGUUUUUCCUAUGGCUAUAUGUGAUAAUAUGUUUUUCCUCUCGAUGUGCUUCUUUGCCCCAGGUGUAUCAUCUACUCUAGAUUGUGAAGGGCAAAUAUCUGAACUUGAAAGUUUACUGGACUCCCAGGUUUUGUUUGUCAACAAUCUUGUUUAUUUGGUAGUUACAAGUUUCAAUUGUAAAUCGCAUCUUCACUGCCUUAGCUCUGAGUAGGUUUUUUUAAUGAUCCUCUGCAUUUCUGUGGACUUGAAUAUUUACAAGGUUUUCAAUGCCCAGUACAGAUUUAUACAGUAUCAGAAAGAUUUGAACUUGAACAAUCUGUACCAUCAGCCAAAGAAGUUAAUAGGUAUUAUGAUCCUAUGCUGCCUGUGCAUGACGAGUUGAAAAGUGCAAUCAGCUCUUCAUGGGCGAAGGUCUGAAAUUUCGAAUAUUUGAUGCUUGUGAUCUUCUUCCUUUUACGUCCUUAUUGUCACUGGUCAUAAUUAUUCCUAAUAUGUAUAUAUUUUUAUGCUUUAACAGUUUGAUGCUCUGGUAGAUGCUCGGCAGGAUUCGGAAUCAGGUCAGUUUCAAGUCACUGAUGAUGCAGUAAAAGCAUCAAAAAAGAGACUAUCAAGUUAUCAUUCAAAGAUAUGCCAUUGCUUGGAAGAACUUGGUCUUAUUUGUGCAUACGAGGUAUUAGAUUGUGGAAUAUGGUCGCUGGCCUUCUUUAUUCCUUGCUUCUAAACUCCCAGUUUCGAAACCUCCAGAACGAAAGAAAGACAUAUCCUGGGGAAAAUCUUCAUGGACUGGCUUCCGCCAAUCGAAGUUUCGUGCUAGGAUUGGAUCGCUGGUGGGCUGGGCUGCCCCAGCUCCCGAUUCAUCUGGAGAAUGAAUUGGGUCCCUGUGUUGAUGAUGUACUAGUUGAUUCAAGAUCUUGUUCCCCAUUUUACUAGUGCCGAAAUCGGUUGGGAAUCCGAAAUGACGGCAUGCAAUAAGCUUCUCUCGACCCUCCCUUUCUCAUACGUAUUUAUGAAAGUUCCUUUCAAGCGGGUUAUAUACUCGAGGGGCAGUGGAUGGUAAUGCAUGACUACUUGACAGGGGGAUUUGCUCUUCCUCAAUCGGACGAUCUUCCUCGUAGGAAGAAGCUUCAUCACAUGUAGUUUGUUUGGAAGACAGAACAAUGUGGGCUCAAUAAGUGCAAAACCAGAAAUUGCUUCGUACUUGAGAGAAGCUGCUCAACCGUUCUGCACAUUUAAAAUAUUGAUUCGGCAUUGCAGACAUCGAUUUUGUUAUUGCAGAUUAUUCUGGCAGUGACUCAUUUCUGUGGUUAUGUAUAUUUACAGGCUUCAUGCUCUUUCCAAAUAUUCUCUACCUGUCUUUUAUCAUUAUCCCCGUCUUACGAAUUGUGAACCAGGAUAAUUAAAGCUUCCCUGUAAUUGGCGUGAUAAUGCCGUCACAGUAAAUGGGCUGUUCUAGUUUAUUUAUUUUUUUGAGUUUUUAGUCGCAUUGCUCAGGAUAAAUACUAUCAUGUUGGUGUAAUAUACUAUAAAUUUGAGAUAUUUAACGAGAAAUACUUAUGGACGUCUCCAAGACUGGAGGAAUCUUUGAUUUUAGUUUAUUACGGAAAUAACUUUAUGCCUUACCGAAUUUCAGAACACUUGGAAACUUCCUGGGGAUUCCUCCCUAAACUGCAUUGAGUAUACUCAAGAGAAGUGAGUAAAACAGCAAGGUAAUAAAGUAUAUCUUCCCAAUGUAGAGAAAAUGGGAGGGGACCCCUACACAUCAGAAUCUACAAAUUUGAAAGAAAAUAAUAACUUUGUUUCUAGGAUUGAAAGGUUUUGGAUCCUAGUUUGUCAACUGAUAUGUUUGAUAAUCAAACGAUCCUAAUUUAGUUUCUGCUUAUGUCAUUCAAUAAAAGACAUACAUCCAAGGAUGUAUUUAAUUCUAUGACGUGGUCAAGGAUGGAAGACCCAUGAAUUGGACUUGAGAAGAAAAAAGAAAGCCAAUAAACGUUAAUUUCGGAUUACAACGUAUACACAAGCAGACGUUUAUUAUUCUUUUUUUUAUAACUUUUUUCUUUCUUCUGUGCCUCUAGUUCUGAUUUCAUAUUACUGGUGUUAUUUAAUUAAAAUACUUCUUCUGAUCAAUGUUAUAAAUUUAAUUUAGGCUGUUAAGAUCUGUAUGGAAAAUAUCUCUGUUCCACAGUCUGAGGGAUGCGAUUUUUCAAGGGCAAAUCUGUUGGCUGAUGUUUCUUUUCUGAAGAGUGUGUUGCUUAAAAUUCAACAGAGUUUCACACAUGGUACAUGAGUCGAGCAAUCUAUACUUUUAGUUUUUCUUGCCGUUAUUUCUUCAAACUGAACUUCAUACCGUGAAUUUCAUAUACGUUGGCUUUUUUAGAAUUCCUUCAUUUUGAGGGUACUGUCUGUCGUCUGUUGUUGUAAAUUUUAUUUAUAUAUCAUUUUCGGUUUUUGUUGAACUUUUUUUUGAAAUUUUGAUUAGUAAAUACUUAUACUCAACUUAGUAGUUUUCAUUUCAAAAUUUUCCAGGAUGUCUACCAUUGAUUUUAUUUUGAAUUGUCCGCCAAAGUUUUCAAAAUAGGUCCUGUGUAAAGCAACCUUUAGAUUUUUCUUUAGUACGCUAUGGCUAAUCUCAAUGCAUUGAUAGGGUUUGACAUUCCUGAAUUUUUUCAGAUUACUAGGUUAGCAAACUCGGAAUAUUUUUUCCUCGUCAUUGUAUUAAGAUUUAGUACAUGGUAUUUAUCAUUCAUUUGGAAAACAUAUGAAAGCUGGUGAAGUAAGCUACCUGAAAAUUUCCACCUUUAUCUAAUUUUUUUAAUUCCCAACUUAUUUCUUGUUUUCAGACAGGUAAGGGUAGAAAAGUUCGUUCUGUCUUCGUAUCCAAUUUACCGUUGAUUUCUCACUAUGGUAUCCUUUUGAUUUACUUCUGUGGUACACAAGAAAAAGUUCUCGAAAAGAUGAUUUCUUUCUAUUAUGUCGGGGUUUUAUUGUUGCCACUUGUUUUCUGCCUAACUUGAUAUUUUCUAUUUCUGUUUUUUAUUUUGUUUAAAUUCUUUUUUUAUCAGACCAUGAACAGCUAUUCGAGACCGAGUCUGGCCGUUCAAUGAUUAUAAAAAUGGGUUAUGUUUCUCCAAAACUGUCUGAAUUAGUGCGAAUUUUUCAGAAAAUCGGGUACAUGAACUUUCUUUUCAUUUUUUAUUGUGUAAAUGAACAAUUCUUUCUCUUGAUCAUCUGUGAUGUCUUAUUGUCUGCCGCAGGUGCUCAACACAAGUACUUUGCCUCAUUUUUGUGGAAAGGAUUAUUACAGCUAAAGUAAUUGAACGAUUCAUCAAGAAGAUCAACUGUUUAUCACACCUAAGGUCUGCUUAUUUAACAGGCGGUAGUACGUCUGCAGAUGCACUAACCUCUAAAAUUCAGAAGGAAACUCUGAAUUCAUUCUGUUCCGGGAAGGUAUCUGACUAAUUAUGCUCAUUUUAUCAUAUUUGAGAGACGAGUGUGUUGCUUCUCUGUGACUGGGAUGCUUGAAUCUUUCAGGUAAACUUAUUGUUCACAACUGAUGUGGCGGAAGAGGGACUUCAUAUACCAAACUGCUCAUUUGUGAUACGUUUUGACCUGCCCAAAACAGUUCGCAGUUAUAUCCAAUCACAUGGACGGGCACGUCAGGUAGAUUCACAUUAUUUCAUCAUGCUUGAAAGGUAAAUGCUAUGGUUACGCUAAUUUAUUUUCCAACAGUCAGAUCAUGCUAUAAAUAUCAGUGGCACUGGAUUACCUCCCAUUAGUAGUUGACUUGCAGCUGAUUAGAGAUAAGUGCAGCAACUAUCAUUAAAAAAUGAGAGAUAAGUGCGGCAACUAUCAUUAAAAAAUGAGAUAUAAGUGCAGCAUACCUUAGAAAAGCAAACUUUUUCAUCUUCAUUCGAAUGCCGUGGAGUCAGUCAACCCCUUUGUACUUGGAUAAGCUAGUAUACCCUUUUUUUCUAUGUGCGUCAACUAAAAUUUUGAUGAAAGUUCUUAUUAAUUUUUUGUUGACAAUUUUAUUUAGUCGCCUAAUACAAUCUGAUUUUGGCUGGUAGGAAAUCUCCUAAUGGAGAUCUUAAUGAGUAAUGGAUCCUUAAACCGGUAUCUCUGAAGAUUACAUAGCUCCUUCCUAAUUAUGUUAAAUUUUUAAUUGACCUUAUAUUACGUUUUCUUUAAUCUUUUAAACUGAAGGUUGUGUUACAGAAUUAUGCAAUGCCUGUCAUUUCCAAUUGUUAUUUUAUUUUUUAGUGAGUUUGUAAACAUUCAAUCAUGAUUGCAUUCGAUUGUUUUGCUUUGAGAUUCUGCAUUACAUCUUUUCUUUAAGUUUUCCAUUGCCGGUUCAAUAAGAUGAGCACCGGCACCAUGAUAUGUAUACCCCCGAUCGAAUCUGUAUCUCUCUAGUUCUAAUGGUGUUCUAUAUAUCUUUUUGAUUCCAGGUGGUUGACUUGAAUGUCAACCUCUUGCCAUUGAGAAAGGAUUUUAUAUUGGGUGUUGCAUUUUGACAUUAGGAACAAGUUAUGUACUACGUGAACUGUGCAUAUCUUGCAUUUAUUCCGAAUUCAUGUGCAGGGGUAACAUUCAACAGAGAGAUCUACUAUUUGACAUUAUUAGGAGUAAAUAUUCUAUGAUGGACACUGUUUUAAGCAGAGAACCUAAUGCUUGCAUAUCCACAUUGGGUGGCUGGGAGAUAUUAAGCUCAUACUUUGUUGAGUCAACCGGAGCAAUUGUUACUACAGAUUCCAGUGUCAAGCUUAUCCGUAAAUAUUGUGAAAGCCUCCCUGGAGAUAAGUACGUCUAGUAUUCUAUUGCACAUGUCUAGUUGAUGUUUUUGUGAAAAAAAUCGUUAACAUUUUAGGACUUCUGUUUUUUGAAAGUAGAUAGAACCAAAAUAUCAUUACAAUGGAGACUGAAGAAAGAAAGUUAGGAAUACGCAUACACAAUCACCUAACAGAAAAAAGAAUAUCUCUUUAUACAUUUAUGAGAGGCAUACUCCUGAAGAGAACAUGCAGGCCUAAGAAUUAUUAAAAUGGAAGAUUCAUUCGUCACAUUACAAAAAGUAGCACUUUCUCACCGUAGUAUAAUAGCAGAGAUAUCUUGAAAUAUUCCAUCUACGGAGUGGUUCAUAUGCCCCAAAAUAAAUCUAUUAUUUUCCUUCUAGGUUGUUUACAGUAUGAGCUGCGGCACAAUAUCCUCACCCUCCCUUAUAACUGAAGCUCCGCUUCCAUCUUCUCUAUGCAACCUUCAGUUUUAUAGGAAUACUCAAGGAUUGAUUGCGCCAAAUGUUCUGCGUGAAGGAACACCUAAGGAGAAGCAAUCGGUCCAUAUCUUCUCAUAAAUUCCAUGUAGAGAACAAGAAGUGCAAAUGUCACCUAAGAUGAUCACAAGUGAGAAAGCACCCAUGUGAGACCCUCCGAUAUCACAUGCCUCACGUUUAAGGACAAUGAAAUCGUCCAAUAUGAUUGACAUGAUGUUUGAUCCUCACAUCAAUAAUUAUGAGUUAGGUUUACUGAACUGAAAAAUUUCCCACUUCUUCCCCAUUUGCAAUACGAGUCUUCUUCUGAUCUUUCUAUCUCUAUGUCAUGAAGAUUCCUUGUGAAUCCUGGUCACGCUCCAAUAAAAUUAGAAAGCCUUUGCUGAGUACAUGAGAAAGUAGAUGGGGAUGUGUUCCCCACCACGGAUUCAUCCAAAGCAGAACCGUCUAGCUACUGUCAAGAGUGCUGAUAUGCGACUGACAAUUUCCUAUCUGCUAUCACUGAAUCUUUUGGCUGAAGAGUGCAUCUCAUCACCUGGAGACAUAAUUUGGAUGAAGCUCUAAGGAUAUGUCACUUCUAUAGUUUUCUUCAUAAUGACCUACCGAAGUAUCUUUUCCCCUGUCCUAGUUUUAACAGCCAUUUCCUGAGAAGUGCCAAGUUAAAGUCUGAGAUAUUGGUAUUCUAAGACUUAUCCUUUGGUUUGAAUCUUCCAUCAUGACCUUGCCAAAAGAAAAGUUUUGUAUUGCCUAUCAAAUCUUUUGGACUCAGUGCUUUAUGAGAAAAUUAAAGAUAAUAGAUGGCCUUACCAUAGAUUACCUCUACAAGUUUGACUCGAUGCUCACAUAACGCAUAGAUAUCACCAUGUUCAGUUUGAGUUAUCUCAGACUCGGUUUAUGGAACUAAAUUGCAGGUAUUUUGACCCAAAGCCACUUUUCCAGAUAUUUUCCCAUAGUGGAUUUUACGAGUGCAAAUUGACCUUGCCUGCCAACGCUGCAUUCCCAGAAUUGGUAGGCCCUGUCAGCAAAAGUUCAUACUUAUCAAAGAAACUUGUGUGCUUAAAUGCUUGUAAAAAGCUGCAUGAAAUUGGGGCACUUGAUGAUCAUCUUCUUCCUGUUAUUGAAGAACGUAUUGAAACCAACCAUGCUGAGAUUGUUAAUUCAGCAUUAGGUGCAGGUACUUGUCUUUUUCAUUCUUUAAAAUUGCUGAGGGAGAAAACUGUUUAUUUUUUCAUAUUUCUGCCAGUAUGUGAAUCACACUUAGAUGUUAACUUAGACAUGUUUAUCAAAAAAAAUUGUGUUGCGGACAUUAGCCUUUCCUUAAUGAGAUAGUAUUGAAUGAUAUAUCUCAUAAAACGGGAUGAAAUUUUUCUUUGGCUGUUUCUUUGAAAUUGAUCCGGUAACAAACUGUCGAUUUGUUCAUGUUUAUGCAAACAUGUGAAUCACAAGUAAAGUGUUUAUUUAGACAUGUCUAUCAAAUUUUUUGAUGUGCUUUUCUAGAAAAACUACCCCACAACUAAGGUACUUUGACAUUUGCUUUUCUUUCAUGAGGUAGUAUUGAAAUGCUAUUGCAAAUAAAACGGAAUAUAAUAAUUCUUUGGGCGUUUGUUGUUAUCGUUGUACUAAAUUAAAAGUCAUCGUAAGAUUCCAGCUUUUUAUGGCUCUUCGAGUAUUUUUUCUGGGCAACAUAUUUUUGACAUUUCCUGUUAACAUAUGGAAAAGCAGCACCAGCAACUUUCAGCUUCUUAUGUUAGCAGCCUUCUUAUGGGGUAGUUUUCAUUGCCACAAUGUCAUAGUGAAUUAUACCCAAUCUAGAAAAAUAAAACCCACUCUAAACCUAUACACAUUCUCAUGGUAAAGGUUUUUUUUUAUCUCUCUGUAAAGUAUGUGGUGUUGGUUGAUGUGUUUAACACGUAAGACUGAAAAAUGAAGUAUAUAUAAAAUGGAUUGGACCACUAGUCACACAGAAGAUCAAAUGAGCCGUUUUACAUAAGAUUCACAUCAAAUCUUGAUUAUUUGUGUUAUCAUUUUUUGCCGAGUAAUCAAAAACAUAUGCACCGAACAAAUGUCAUUCCAUAAAUGAGUCUUAAUGCAACAACUAGAAAAAAAAGUAUCUCUAGUCUAUUAAAGAGACAUGGAUUGCAAAGCGUAGACUAGGUUGGCACUAAUGAAAUUAUCUCUAGUCCCCUCAUUGGUCUAUGAUAUCAGGGAAUGUUUUAGUACCAGUGGCACGUAUUAGCAUGUUAAAUUUCUCCUUUCUUCCUCCUGGGUGGUUUCCGUGAGGAUCCCAUCUCAAGGGUAAUAUUCCACCAAAAAAAAAAGUAGGAAUCUAUCUGUCUCAUUUAAUUGGUGGCAAAGAAAAGUAUUUGUUUAAUCCCCCAAGUAUGUAGGAUAUCAAUUAUUGUAAGUUUUCCUACUCACGGUCCUGUUCUAUCGUGAGGUCGUCUUUGCCGGUUUACUCAAUGAAACUUCUGAGCAACUUUUUUGCUUUUCUUUCAAUAUGCAUCUAGUGUUUAUGUAAUAAUGUAUAUAUAGUAUAUCUAACGUGUGACAUGAUUUUGGGACUAUUCGAAGGUACAAAAAGAAGGAAGGAGCUACAUGGAUCGACAACAGCUCGAGCUUUGUCAGGAAUUUGGGCUAACAGUCGAGAUGCUGUGGCUUUAGAAGCAUAUAAAAUCGACUUCACGUGUAAUGAAGAUGCUGUAAAAUACUCAAGUUUUGUCCUUCUAAUUGAUGCCGUGUUAGACUCUGAUAUUUCUCAUGUGGAAAUCAACCUUAACCUUGGUACAAAAUCCGUUACUUCGUCUGUUUCCCCAUGCGGCUCGUUCAAUUUGAAUGCAGAACAGGUUCCUUUCUUAAGCUGUAUACUUUUUUUCAUUUCCUUCGCGCAGUGUUAUUGUCUCUUAAGUCCGUGAUGCCAUGAUAACAGGUGGAGCACUCAAAACUCUUCCACGAGUUUUUCUUUAAUGGGUUAUUUGGAAAGUUACUCAGUGGGCCCAAAUAUUCUGAAGUCCAUAAGAAAUUCAUCCUUUCACCAGAAAGGCGACCUUUGUGGAGCACUACGAAGAUGUAUUUCUUAUUACCGAUUGAUACUUCAUCAAUCCUUCCUCCUGGAUCUUUGAGCAUAGAUUGGAAAGCAGUUCGGGCGUGUGCAUAUGUGGUGAAUUUCAUGAGGAAUAGUCAUUUAUCUGGACGCCAAAAUGCAUUACUGUCUCAAACAGUAACUUCACUGGCCCUAAUUGAAAGUUCAUCGACUGAAUGCAAGGGAUCAGCUAGUAUACACCUUGCCGACAAGUCUGUUCUUUUAGGUGAACACAAAGAUAUGGUAGUUUUGACAGUUCACACUGGAAAAUUAUAUACUGUAAUUGACGCACUAAUUGAUACGUCCGCUGAAAGUCCAUUUGAUGAUCCAACAGCCGGUUAUACCAGUUUCUCAGACUACUUCUUUAAAACGUGAGAAAGUUUAUCUUCCUGGCAUAUGGCCUUUUGAGUUUGAUCUUUUAUUCACAGAUACUUUGUAAUGUAAUUUUUCAUAUUUGAUUUCUGCUGCAGAUAUAGUAUUGUUAUUCGGCAUCCUAAGCAACCCUUAUUUCUUUUGAAGCAUAGCCAUAACCCGCACAAUCUUCUUUGUUCAAACUCUAAGCCACAAGGUAUUGUACUACUCACAUUAAAAGAUGUCAAUAGGUUUCGAAGAUCUAGAUUUGCCUGUUGUCUGUCUUUUGAGCGGAAAUGCCAAUCUAUGUAUUUUUUAGCUUCCAUUGUCUCAUGAUUACUGCGUGAGUAAUGUUGUUUUCUUUUAUUUUAUUUGCUUUCUGUACAUUCUGGAUGGUGUCCUGAAAUCUCAUUUCGUAGAUAAAAGUAUGAGUACCAUACAUAAGCCUAUAAAUAGUCGAGUGUAACUUGAGAAUGGACUCGAAGCUGAUGGUAUGGAAGAGUAGAACCAAAAAAAAGCUCUAUGAUCGAAAUUCGUAGUAGUCAUUCCACCAUUUCAAAAUCUUGGUUAACGUUGAAGGUGGCGGGACUGGAAGCCUUGAGACACCCUGAUGAUUCGGAAAUUAUUCUUAAAAAUGUCUUCCUUUCCUUUGGCUUCUUUCCUCUGGAUUAGGCCGUGAUCUUUCCUCAACCUGUAAAUUCCACAUCCUUAGUUACUUUUUAAUUGUUCGUCGGCUCAGUAGGAAAUGAUCCACUUGAUUCCCACAAAGUAGCACAGCAUGAGGACUGAUUGUCUUAGUGGUGUCAUUAUUUCGAGAGGUUUCCAUUCGAGUGUCCACCUUCUCAAAUGGACAGCUUUUACAACCUGACGUUAUGCACAUGCUCAGACAGCCCUAUACCCUUGAAUCAAGAUUAUCCCUCCAGAUGGCUGUCGAUCCCUCAUUCAACAAUGUCACUGAGGUUGUGUGAGCCUUAGUUUCCUCCGCUUUAGUCCAAUGAUUUGAUCAGAAGGAUACUUAUCUUUGUAGGAAAUUUGGUUAUAUGGACUAACUAAUCCUCAAGUUUUUUGAUGAGGAAAAUGCAACUUAACCUGAUACCUUCUUCUUUGUAAUGUUUUAUUUACUUACGAGUCCAGUAGAGUUUUUUUUAAAACGUUGCCAUGGCACUCGGGCUGUCAUCAUCGGUUUCUCAGAUUAUAUCGGAUACCAUGUCAUUUUAAUCCAUAAGGUGUAUUUGUUCAGCAUGCUGAUUUUUUUUUCCCGAAGUAAAUCUUGGCUUUAUUCCCAGAUGUUGUUUUUUAACAAGAAUUCAACUGGAGCUGGAAUACUAAAAAUUAUGUCUUUCAUUGAAUAUAUUUUGUUGUCAUCAUGGAGUACUAGUAAAUUUGAGACAGAUGGGGGGUUCUGGCUAUUUUGUAUCUGGAUCAAGGAAGGUUGAAAGGGGCCUUUUUGCCUACAUCUUUUGUUUUUCGUGUCAAAUCCUGGUUAAGUGUUUUAGCAGUUUUCCUGACAUUUCUGAUCGUGUGUCUUGUGGAAGAAUUUUUAUGGCACAUUCCGUAAAUCAAUAAUGCUUCGAGGACUUUGAGUAGUAUUUUCCUUGAGCGCAUUUAUGGCUGCAACAUGCAUAAAUUGGAAUCUGGAAUCUCAAUGAAAAUGUCUCAACUUUGGGAAACCCAAUCCAUUAUAUUCCUAUUUAAUCGAUCACACGGCGUCUUUCUGCACUCCUCCUGAAAUAAUAGUAGCAUUCGACGUCAUAUUAGGCGACUCUUCCCCAAGCGAAGCUAACAAGGCGAGUGGCACUGGACUGGGAAAGGGACGAACUUAUGCUCGCAUGCCUCCAGAGCUUCUGAUCCCCGUUGACGUAUCAGCCAAAAUUUUGAGGACUUUUUACCUGUUACCAUCAUUUAUGCAUCGGUUAGAAUCGCUUCUGCUAGCUAGCCAGCUGAAAGAAGAAAUUGGCAAUGCCUCUAACGUGUCAAGUUUCCUGGUAAUACACCAUCUCCGCCCUUUGGAUAGGCGGCAUUGAAAUCUUUUACUAUUUUCAGUUCAUGCUGAUCAAUCUAUUUUCCUAGAUCCUGGAAGCAAUUACAACCCUCAGAUGUAAUGAGAGCUUCUCAAUGGAACGCCUGGAGCUUCUGGGAGACUCUGUCCUCAAGUACGCUGUGAGCUGCAAUCUCUUCCUGAGAUAUCCACAGAAACACGAGGGGCAGUUAUCUGCAUAUAGAUCAAGGGCAGUUUGCAAUGCUUCCCUCCAUAAACUGGGAAUUAGUCGAAACUUGCAGGUACGUGGCACCGAACUUAUUCAGUUCUUGGCAGAAGAAAAUAUCAAAUUAAAUGUCGAAAUUUCGACUAGUUUUAAUUCUUAGGAAGUUCUCCAAGUCUUCUUUCAAGCACGCUUCAGUGUACAGGAUUCUUAGUGUCCCACCGAACUGGAGCCCUGUUAGACGUUUAAUCUUAUUCAGCUUGAUCUUUCUUGCUAAGAUGAAGAAUAUGAAAAUGUGGCAUGGACGAAGGUUGCUUGGGCGCAAUAGUAACCAUCACAUCUCUGACAUAUUUUUUUUCUAGGAUGUGCAUCAUUUGUAUAUUCAUCUGCGUUUGCUAAUCAUAUAUUGGCAAGUCCCAAGGACUUGAGAAUGCUAAUCUUGAGGUUCACAUUGAUCAAGUAUAUAUAUAUAUAAAAUAUUUUGGCUCAGAUUUUUGUCCAAGGUUGUGAUGCUUGAAUUCAAAUUAUGAACAUUUGUAUGGUUUCAAUGAGAUUGGAACGGAUUGAGGCUAUUUGGCGGACCACCAACCUCAAUCUCCCCUGUAUUUGCUCAGAUUUCCGUUGACUUUUUAAGACUAGUCCAAAUGAUUUGUUAGUCCAAAACUAGAUAUACAUCACGUAAUCGACUGAUUUAUGCCCUCCAAAACUAAGAUGAUCUUCUCGUUAUAUAACAAAUGGAUGUCUCACAGGGCUACAUUCGAGAUGCUGCGUUCGAUCCGCGGCGCUGGGCUGCUCCUGGGCUGGUCUGUUUGCGGCCCAUGCGCUGCAGAUGCGGUGCCGACGCCUCCAAGGCCCCGAUGAAGAUCAUCUCUGAGAGGGACGAGGGCGCUCUGGUUAUUGGAAGGGCUUGUGACAAAGGCCACCGCUGGUUAUGCUCCAAGACAGUCGCUGACUGCGUUGAAGCUUUAGUUGGGGCGUAUUACGUCGGCGGCGGCCUUCCUGCUGCAACUCAUUUCAUGAAAUGGCUGUCCAUGGACGUUGACGUUGACCCAGCGUGGCUCGAGGAGGCCAUCCGGAGCGCGUCUCUCCGGACGUACCUUCCAAAACUUGAGGAGCUCCAACUCCUGGAGCGCAAAAUGAAUUAUACAUUUUCCGUCAGAGGGCUUUUAUUGGAGGCCACAACGCAUCCUUCUCAGACGGGCGCCGGCUGCUGUUACCAGGUAAAUCGCCCAAUAUAUUCAUCGAUUUUUUAAUGGAAUUUAAUGGGCAAUUAAACUGUUCUUACUGUUCUAUGGCUUCACUUUAUUUACUGGAAAAAAACUUUUUUUAAUUUAAAAAAAAAAGAUUGGCGGAUCUCUGACGUCUAGCCUGUCUUCCAGCGGUUGGAAUUCCUGGGUGACUCGGUGCUGGACCUGCUCAUCACCUGGCAUCUGUUUAAAUCGCAUGAAGAUAUCGAUCCGGGCGAGUUGACCGACCUGCGGGCGGCCUCUGUCAACAACGAAAAUUUCGCUGGGGUUUCAGUGAGGAAUAAUCUUCAUCACCAUCUUCAGCACGGAUCCGGCGCGCUCUUGGAGCAAGUAAAUGCCUACAUCGAGAACAUCAAGAGCCACCAUGUCCAUCUUCCUCGGCUAUCACCUCAGACCUCCAAAGUCCCCAAAGUGAGCUGCCACCUCUCUCUCUCUCUCUCUCUCUCUCUCUCUCUCUNNNNNNNNNNNNNNNNNNNNNNNNNNNNNNNNNNNNNNNNNNNNNNNNNNNNNNNNNNNNNNNNNNNNNNNNNNNNNNNNNNNNNNNNNNNNNNNNNNNNNNNNNNNNNNNNNNNNNNNNNNNNNNNNNNNNNNNNNNNNNNNNNNNNNNNNNNNNNNNNNNNNNNNNNNNNNNNNNNNNNNNNNNNNNNNNNNNNNNNNNNNNNNNNNNNNNNNNNNNNNNNNNNNNNNNNNNNNNNNNNNNNNNNNNNNNNNNNNNNNNNNNNNNNNNNNNNNNNNNNNNNNNNNNNNNNNNNNNNNNNNNNNNNNNNNNNNNNNNNNNNNNNNNNNNNNNNNNNNNNNNNNNNNNNNNNNNNNNNNNNNNNNNNNNNNNNNNNNNNNNNNNNNNNNNNNNNNNNNNNNNNNNNNNNNNNNNNNNNNNNNNNNNNNNNNNNNNNNNNNNNNNNNNNNNNNNNNNNNNNNNNNNNNNNNNNNNNNNNNNNNNNNNNNNNNNNNNNNNNNNNNNNNNNNNNNNNNNNNNNNNNNNNNNNNNNNNNNNNNNNNNNNNNNNNNNNNNNNNNNNNNNNNNNNNNNNNNNNNNNNNNNNNNNNNNNNNNNNNNNNNNNNNNNNNNNNNNNNNNNNNNNNNNNNNNNNNNNNNNNNNNNNNNNNNNNNNNNNNNNNNNNNNNNNNNNNNNNNNNNNNNNNNNNNNNNNNNNNNNNNNNNNNNNNNNNNNNNNNNNNNNNNNNNNNNNNNNNNNNNNNNNNNNNNNNNNNNNNNNNNNNNNNNNNNNNNNNNNNNNNNNNNNNNNNNNNNNNNNNNNNNNNNNNNNNNNNNNNNNNNNNNNNNNNNNNNNNNNNNNNNNNNNNNNNNNNNNNNNNNNNNNNNNNNNNNNNNNNNNNNNNNNNNNNNNNNNNNNNNNNNNNNNNNNNNNNNNNNNNNNNNNNNNNNNNNNNNNNNNNNNNNNNNNNNNNNNNNNNNNNNNNNNNNNNNNNNNNNNNNNNNNNNNNNNNNNNNNNNNNNNNNNNNNNNNNNNNNNNNNNNNNNNNNNNNNNNNNNNNNNNNNNNNNNNNNNNNNNNNNNNNNNNNNNNNNNNNNNNNNNNNNNNNNNNNNNNNNNNNNNNNNNNNNNNNNNNNNNNNNNNNNNNNNNNNNNNNNNNNNNNNNNNNNNNNNNNNNNNNNNNNNNNNNNNNNNNNNNNNNNNNNNNNNNNNNNNNNNNNNNNNNNNNNNNNNNNNNNNNNNNNNNNNNNNNNNNNNNNNNNNNNNNNNNNNNNNNNNNNNNNNNNNNNNNNNNNNNNNNNNNNNNNNNNNNNNNNNNNNNNNNNNNNNNNNNNNNNNNNNNNNNNNNNNNNNNNNNNNNNNNNNNNNNNNNNNNNNNNNNNNNNNNNNNNNNNNNNNNNNNNNNNNNNNNNNNNNNNNNNNNNNNNNNNNNNNNNNNNNNNNNNNNNNNNNNNNNNNNNNNNNNNNNNNNNNNNNNNNNNNNNNNNNNNNNNNNNNNNNNNNNNNNNNNNNNNNNNNNNNNNNNNNNNNNNNNNNNNNNNNNNNNNNNNNNNNNNNNNNNNNNNNNNNNNNNNNNNNNNNNNNNNNNNNNNNNNNNNNNNNNNNNNNNNNNNNNNNNNNNNNNNNNNNNNNNNNNNNNNNNNNNNNNNNNNNNNNNNNNNNNNNNNUUUCGACCUUCUCUCUCUCUCUCUCUCUCUAGGCUUGGGGGUGGACCUGGCGAUCAGAUUCUGCCCGGCGGGAGUGCCACGCGACGGCGAGAAGUUAAUUCAUGGGGGAGUAUACGUGCAGAGAAGGGAAGGGAGAAGCGACGGGAGCCACAGGAAGGUACCCACGGGAGGAGGGAUGAUACGUGGUGCCGUCCUCCGUCACGGGGGAGCUUCCAGAGCGAGGGUCUCUGGUGAGGCCGCAGGAGGAGGAGAAGAGGUUGAAGAGAGGGGAGAAGGCUAACCUGGAGAAGAAGAUCGCCUCCGUCCGCCGAUACCAGCCUCCCCGAGCUCUUUCUUCUCGCCGUUGGCAUUUGACGCCGCCGCCUUCCCUCUGCUCUCCCUGGUGCUGACCCGCCCGGUUUCGUCCUCCUUCGAGCAGAGCCUCCUGCAGUUUUGACGUAAGAUCAGUGGGAAUUCUCCUUCCGGGGAGCAGUGGGCCGCGCUCUGCUUCGAUCACGGCCGCCGUCACCAUCAUGCGCUCGUGAACGGACGCUGCAAGGGAGUUAUCUGCACUCGGUGUUGAAUCCGGAGUAGCUUCCUCUCUCUCUCUCUCUCUCUCUCUCUUUCUGUUUUUUCUAUUCCUCUUCUCCCGUCCGCCCCCUGGUUCGCGGCGUGUUUGGCUUCCAUGUUGUGGCUUAUUUUUUCUCCUCGGUGAUCGGAAUAAAUAGGGCCGGCCGGAGAUGGGGGUGGAGGAGUGGCUUGCCGGGGAGAGGCGGGAGGUGAAGCCUCUUCUGAUGAAGAUUGGGGUGGCCGUUUCUCUCUCAUUCGCCGGUUAUCUCUUCUACCGUCUUACCCUCCAGGGAGACUGCGGAGCCCGCCGCCAUCCCCGCCACGGUCGUCCUUCUGCUUCAGGUAUUCGCCAACUUGCGUCUCCUCCUUGUCUUUCCUCCGAUUCUUCUUCAGAGCCUUGAAUUUUCGCCUGCUCUGUGAUCGCAGGGGCUGGAGUUGGAGGCGUCCGAGAAGCAUGUGGGAGCCCCAGGGAUAAAAUCCUUCUCCAACGCGUAAGAUCUUCCGGCGCUGUUCUUCCGGUUUCCCCUCUUUCGUUGACUGCAGUGUUUUCAUCCAAAAAUACUCGAUUCUGCGCCCUUGUAGCUUCUAUUCAAUGGGGUUCGUCCGAUGCUACAGGAAGAUGCAUCGCCCAAUGUCAGCAAUGGCGGCGCCGCCGCCAGGAUACCUUUCGACGUCGUGGAACUUUCUCGGAGCAGAAAAAGCUCAGAGGAAGAUGGGGCAUACCUGCUUCCACAGUUCCAUGAGCUGGUACUUGGAGGACUGGACGCGGCGGCGAUGGAGACGGAUAUCUGUGAAAACUCGCCCGCGAAGAUAUCACCGGAGAACGGUGAGGAGGCGGCCAGGGAGCAGGAGAUCGUCUUCCUGAGAGACCUGGUGCAGUCGCUUCAGGAGAGGGAGAGGAGCCUGGAGGACCAACUGCUCGAGUACUACGGGCUCAAGGAGCAGGAAUCAAUCAUGUUGGAGCUCCAGGACCGCCUGAACAUCAGUGCAAUGGAGGCCGAGCUUCUCUCUGUCAGGAUUGAUUCUUUGCAGGCUGACAACCAGAGGCUCCAGAACGAGUUAUCUGAUUAUUCGGCGACCAAGGCCGAGCUCGAAUCUGCGAGGGCCAAGAUCAAUCAUCUGAAACGGAAGUUCGAGUCAGAUUCGGCCAAGGCGAAGGAGACGGUUGCUGCUAUGCAUGAGAAGAUUGCUGCGCUGCGGGAUCUUGAGCGCAGGGGAGAGGAGGAGUAUCAGGAGAUGGAGAGGAGAUUGCAGAGACUGAACGAUCUGGAGCGCGAGGUUGCAGAGCUCAGAGAGAUGAACUCGAAAUUAGAAAAGGAGAACUUAGAUUUGUUGGAGAAGUUGCAGCCCACACAAAUUUCUCGCCCCUCCGCACCAGACUUUCCUCAGGUCUGAACCAGAAUCUCGAAUUUCUUCUUCCACAUUCAAAUUUCAUUUAUUCACCGUUUCUCACGGAGACGGAAUUGUGUGGCAGGCAUCGGAGGAAUCAGCGGAAGUGAUCCAUCUUAGACAAACGAACGACGAACUGGCAAAGGAAAUAGAGCAGCUCCACACCGAUCGCUGCGCAGAUGUGGAAGAGCUGGUAUACCUCAGAUGGAUCAACGCCUGCCUCCGGUACGAGCUGAGAAACUACCAGACGCCACCGGGGAAGACAGUGGCGAGGGAUCUGAGCAAGACGUUGAGUCCUAAAUCAGAGCACAAGGUCAAGCAGCUCAUCAACGAGUACGCAAAUCCUGGAUAUAGGGAGAAAAGCCCCGCGAACCUGGUCGAUUUCGAGUGGGAGUGCUCUUCUUCCUCUCAGGCGUCCUCCCAGACGGAAAACGGGGAACCGGACGACGCCUCAUUGGAUGCUUCUGCAGCUACUAAAGCAAGCGGCUCCGGCAAGACAAAGUUCCUCGCAAAACUCAAGAGGCUGGUAUUGGGAAAGGAUGCUGGCGGCCACCGGCAUCUUUCCGUCGAGAGAAGCCCCAGAAGCUGCAGCAAUUCGGCGAGGAGAGCAACCACCUCUACAUCCUGGUUCGACGAGAUCACUGGAGGAGCUUCCUGCGAUAGCUCCACCUCUCGCACAGAAAAGUUCGACGAGAAUCACUACGAUCAUCAUCAGGAGAAUGAUUCCGCUUGGACUCGCCGUCUCCCCCGGGUCUCUCUAGAUUUCCAGAGGCUGAGGAGCCACGAUGAUCAGGCGGACGCCGCAGGGACACGAUGCAAGAGCGACGUAGGGACCUUAUGGCGGACGAGAAUGGCGUCGUGCGAGGAGGCCUUGCUACUCUCUCCCCAUGGCUCGCGGAUCGACGACGCAGAGGCCAGUGAUCCUCCCCAGAAGCCGUUAGCACAGGGGAGAUCUGCCCACGCUCCAGAGACGCCCCCUCUGAGGAAGAUGACCAAGACCCGCCUGAGAUCUGCUUCCUCGAGCUUGGGAUGAUAUCUAUAUUUAUAGGCACCUUAAUGGGCCCUUCCUAUAGGCCCAUUAACUCGAGAUUAGAAUGAGCUUCAGUGGACUGGGCCUGUAAAAAAUAUAGUUCAUCUUGAGCUCUAGUCUAUAAGCCCAAUAACAGCCCUUUAUGUGGUCCUCUGCGUCGCGGUGAGCGAAAGAAAACUCACCGGACGGUUACAGCAACCGUCUUCUCCGUAACGAACUCCUCACCUCAACAGACAUCCUACUACGGUGAACCUUCGCGCCUGUUCUCUCUCUCCCUCUCUCUCUCUCUCUCUCUCUCUCUCUCUCUCUCUCUCUCUCUCUCUCNNNNNNNNNNNNNNNNNNNNNNNNNNNNNNNNNNNNNNNNNNNNNNNNNNNNNNNNNNNNNNNNNNNNNNNNNNNNNNNNNNNNNNNNNNNNNNNNNNNNNNNNNNNNNNNNNNNNNNNNNNNNNNNNNNNNNNNNNNNNNNNNNNNNNNNNNNNNNNNNNNNNNNNNNNNNNNNNNNNNNNNNNNNNNNNNNNNNNNNNNNNNNNNNNNNNNNNNNNNNNNNNNNNNNNNNNNNNNNNNNNNNNNNNNNNNNNNNNNNNNNNNNNNNNNNNNNNNNNNNNNNNNNNNNNNNNNNNNNNNNNNNNNNNNNNNNNNNNNNNNNNNNNNNNNNNNNNNNNNNNNNNNNNNNNNNNNNNNNNNNNNNNNNNNNNNNNNNNNNNNNNNNNNNNNNNNNNNNNNNNNNNNNNNNGAGAGAGAGAGAGAGAGAGAGGAUGGCGGGCGGUGUUGUGGCUCCGCUGGUCUCGCCAGCGACGGCGACGCUCUACGUAGGGGAUCUCGAUGAUGGCGUCGACGAGGUCCAUCUCUCCGGGGCAUUCAGCGGCUGCGGCAACAUUUCCUCCAUCCGCGUCUGCCGCGACUGGCGGACGGGCAGUUCGCUCCGCUACGCCUACGUCAACUUCUAUUCAAGAUCCAACGGUGAGUUGGACUCCCCCGUUCGUUGCUUCCUCUCUACGGUCCUCCUCCCUUUCUUGAUGAUCAGUUCUAGGUUUUUUUUUUCCAUUUUUUUCUGUCCUGAGUCUCGUCUUCUGAUGAUUCUCCGUAAGCCGAGAAAGCUCUGAAAUCGCUUAAUCACGCCCCUUUGUUGGGCAAGCCAAUGCGGAUCAUGUGGUCUCUGAGAAACCCCAUCUCGAGGAAGACCGGCGAGGCCAACGUCUUCGUCAAGGUUUAAUUUCUUGCGCACUCUCUUCCUCGAUUUCUACUUUUUCUUCUCCGAUUCGAUCUUCCCGAAUAAAAUCGCAGAAUCUUGACCCCUCCGUGGAUGGAGCGAAGCUCGAGGAGAUGUUCAGCAGGUACGGCACGGUGUUGUCGUGCAAGGUGGCGACGGAGGACGACGGUCGGAGCAAGGGCUUUGGGUUCGUUCAGUUCCAGGCAUAAGAAUCCGCUCAGGCCGCCAUUAAAGCUCUCCAUUGCUCCCAAGAGCAUGGCAGCAAGACGCUGUAACAUUCUUUCUCCGAUCUACCAUAUUUUUCACCUCAUUCGUCUAGAUUCCAUCCAUCGGAGCCCCUGCUGCAUUCUCUUGGAUUGCAUCAAACUAUCACGAUUAUCACAGGCGUCUGAUUCGAGGGGUUUGCCUUAAAAAAUCCCUCUGCAGUUAUGUCGCUAAAUUUGUCAGGAAGAACAUGAGGCAGCCACCCGACUUCCCCAAAUCCUCCACCCUCUUCAUCAAGAAUCUUGACGACGACAUCACAGACGAGGGCCUUCUGCAAAAGUUCUCCGAGUUUGGGCAAGUCAGAAAGGCUCGCGUCGUGAGGGAUGGCGCUGGAUCUUCCAAGGGCUUCGGGUACGUCAGCUUCGAGUCUCCAGACGACUCGAAGACCGCAAUCCACGCCAUGAAUGGCACCCAAUUCGGUGAUCGCCCUCUCCAUUCCCGCGAUGCCCAUGUUUAAAUCUUGGUGUUGUUCUCAGUGAUGACAGAAUCUCCGUUGACUUUAGGAUCGAAAACAGUGUAUGUGGGGAAGGCUCUGAGCAGGGCCGAGCGGGAGAAGGCUCUGAGACAAGGAUCCGAGGGAUCCAAGAACAGCAAGUGCAGCCAUCUUCCGCCCAUCCUCGUAAGAAAGAAACACCCCCUUUGGUUGACCUUCUUCGGCAGGAGCAGGCUCCUGCAGAUCAUUGUUUGACCAUGAACAUCUCUCUGUCUGUCUGUCCGUCAAACCUACUUAGAACUCAGAGAUCUUCGUGAAGAAUCUUCACCCUUCCGUCGAUGACCAAGCCCUGCGGGAGAUCUUCAGUGGGUGUGGAAGGAUCCGCUCGGCCACCGUUGCGCUCGAUGGCGAAGGGAUCAGCAGGGGGUUCGGCUUCGUGGGCUUCUCCAGCCCCCACGAGGCGGCGAGGGCCGUCUCCACUCUGAACGGUAAGAACAACUAACAAGAAGAUCUUCAGUGGGCGUGCUUGAUUUCCCAGAGGAGAGAAGCGCGGAUCAGUAACUCUCACUUCUCGUUGCAGGCGCCGUGUUCCUCAGCAGGCGCCUCCACGUGGCGAUGGCCCAGAGGAAGGAGGACCUCCAGAGGGCCAUGCAGCCCCGAUUCCCCAAGGUGAAGGUGCCCAUGGUGGAGGGCAUGCGGCCUCAUAGUCAGCCACCCUGGAUGCUGAAAUCAUACGGGUUGGGAAACUUACAGAAGAACCAGGCUUUUCUAGUGGUAAGCGCACUGCACUAUAAUAUAUAUUAUUUUCCAUUUUUGGUGGCUGGAAUCCUAACCAGGAAUGGCGGAUGGUUGGGCCAUGGAAUGUGCAGAGUCAACUAUGGAUGAAUGGGUACCCCGUACUCUAUUCAAGCCAUCUAGCAGCACGUCCCUCACUUCUAUUCCCGGCGGUACCCCUUCGAGCUGCGCACGCCGUGAAGGAAUUUUGAAGACCUGGGGAUUGCGACGCAGGCGGACGGAUCUCCGACGACGGCGCAGAAGAAUAAAAAUAAAUAAAAAAGAGUUGACUUUCUUUCAUUCCGUUGCCGGGACUUGAACCCGGGUCUCUCGGGUGAGAGCCGAGUAUCCUAACCAACUAGACUACAACGGAAUUGUUGAAAAUAAUUUCGCCAUGAAAAAGAUAUCCAUUUUUCAUUCGCAAACCGCCUCUACCAUCAAUUUCUUCAUGAUUCCGGGGCAAGGGUCCCCGCCAAACACAUCGGCGGCGACACCCACCGUACAGCGUUCCCGGCCCACGCACUUCUGCGCCGGAAAAGUAACACCCAUAAGAACUAACGGCCACAAGAAGAAGAAGAAGAAGAUGAAGAUGAUGAUGAUGAUGAUGAUGAUGAUGCUGAUGAUGAUGAUGAUGAUGAUGAUGCUGAUGAUGCUGAUGAUGGUGAUAUAAAAGAAGAAGAAGAUGAUGAUGAUGAUGACGCAGAAGAAGAGCACGGACCAUCUUGAGGGCAUCGUAUGAUCGGUGGGCGUGGCAGGCGCCCUGGGAGAAGUUGCCGCAGACGCCUUGCGGCGUGCCGAAGCUGGCGAAGCGAAUAGCGGAGAUCUUCUGCCCCGGGGAGCAGCCGAGCCGGGCCUUGGGCCUCCUGGGGGCCUCGGCCCUCCCCGGGUCCUCGAUUCGCCAGUUGGAUGGCUGCCAUUCGGAGAUGUCCGCGCAGACGCUCCCCACCGUCCUCCUCACCAUCGCUAUCCCCGCCGGGUCCCCUCCCCACUCCUCGAACAGCACCAUCAGAUUCCCCCCCGUCGGGUUGAGCCACGAUCGAGGAACGUGGUACCUUCAUUGAUCAAGACCAAACCCAAGAUGCAAAUCCAAUCAAUUCAUCUGUGAUCAUCGCAGUGGAACGAGCCGGCGAGGAGGAGAGGGGCUACCAUCUCUGGGAGGGCUCGCCGCAGUUGCUCUGGCACUUGUUCUCGUUGUACUCGCCGGCGUAGCUGCAGCGGCUGUCGCAGGAGCCGUGGGCCUUGUAGCCGGGCCAGUGCCGGCCUAUGCUCAUGCCGUUUAUCCACACCUGCCCCUUCCCCAUGCUCCCCAUGUCCAGAGCCAGCGGGUCGUCCCCCGGGGGAGCGCUGAACAGAGCCUGGAACAGGAAGGAACGAAUGAUGAUGAUGAUGAGGGAGAGAGAGAGAUAGAGAUAGACAAGGGUGAGAUGGGUCCUGUACCUUGUACCAUGUGAGGGGCUGAUUAGGGUAGACGUCGGCCCACUCGACCGAGGAGCUGCCACUGAGGGAGUGAAGCUCCAAGGCCUCGCCUUUCAAGCCGACCUGCAAGAGAGCAAACGGGCUUGCUUCAUUAAGAGGGCAGGUUCACGUAUGUUUCCAAUAAUGGAAGCACUGGUUAUCCAGGCAGGGCGAGAGCGAGGGGGGGCGACCGUGUAGGUCCAGUUCUGCCAGGUGAGGUCCCUCUUCCCCUCGUUGAGCCCCUCCAGCACCACCGGCCCCAGAACCCCCGCGUUCCACGUCUCAAAGUGCUCCCCAACGUUCUGAAAAACCCCAAGCGAAAGAAGAAGUCAACUCCUCGGAAAAAAUUAAAAAAAGAGUAUCUGUUUGAGCUGGAGACGAGGGCAGCGAGGGGGGGGGGGCAGCAGAGCUCACCGGGAGACCGACGGCCACGCUCAAAAUGGAAAUCUUGUUGCUACCAGGCCGCAGCUUCGCCGGCCCGGUGUACGUGAGCUUCGGAUUCUCCAUGCCCCCGUAGACGGUCCCUGGCGGACAGCAAGUGGCAGAGAGAAACGAAGAGAUUAGCCGGCGGCAUCAGUCGGUGGGGCGGAGGAGAGAAUUCCUGCUGCCUAACCGGUGAGAUUCCCGUUGACGAAGACGUGCAACGAGUGCCCCGCUGACAUCGCCGUCAGAGAUGGGUACCUCCCGUUCAUAAGGAACUCUUCGUCCUUGCCUAUGUCAACGCUGCCAGACAUAGUUUCCAUUAAUAGGAAGAAUUUGGGAUCUCUGAGCUCUGCAGGGUCUCCGGGUUCUCGCCCACUUACUACGUGGAGUACCAGAGGUAGUCCGUGGAGUCGCGGGUCAUGUUGACUUGCUCUAGGAGGCCCGUGGUCGUGAAUGAGCCGCUGUCGAGAGCGUUUGACUCCUCGCUGUAUGAAGCCCACUCGUAUCCGCCGGCCGAAGUCAUCUUCAUCAGGGUGGUCUGGAAGUUCACCUGCUCGGGGGGUCAGAUCAGAACAAAAUAAAGGGUAGGUCUUGGAUUUUACCAAAAAUAGAUUGCGGUCAUGAAACAAAAGGUUUAUAAAUCAGAGGAGAGAUGGCCUGGGUGGGUAAAGGCUACAUUUUUAUUUUUCCCUGAAGUAAUUACAACCACAGAAUAAAGAUUUAAGGAGAGAGAGAGAGGAGGGAGUAUAGAUAAAGGGUAAAUUUAAGAUUUUUCUCAAAAAAAAAAGGGCAACCAUAAAUAGAAAUUAUGUGGAGAGAUGACAUGAAUAAAGGCUAGAUUUUUCAAUCUUUCCCGAAAUAAAAAUGGCAACAUAAAGAGCACAAAUAAAGUCAAACCCAUAUGAGAGCUCUGGAAAAGGAAACAUUCUGAGUGGGGGAAAUCGUUCAAAUGGAAACAGAUCAUAGCGGUUUGGCAGAGUAAGAAAAUGGGAAAAGAAAUAGAUAUCGAUACAUAUAUAUAGUAAGAUCUAAUAAACUGAGGAACCUCUGAUGAAACAUGAUGAAACAUGAUGAAUCGUCAAGUUGAAACUACAAUAGAUCUGUGGGUUCCAAUUUUCCGAUUUCAGAGCUCCCACCCUGCAAAGAUGCACUCACCCUGGCAGUGUUGAAAACAGCGUUCUUGCAGUCAGGAAGGAUGCUGAUGGACCAGGGAGGAAGAUUAUAGUGCACCCCAUCAAACUCCACUUUCGCAUACGAAUUCGAGUCAUAAUUGGCAAGAAAUGCGGCGCAACCCGUCUCCGUCGAGUUGAACACAUGAGCCUAAAUGCGGAAAGAAAGCCAUCGCUUCAGCUAACUCCAGGUUUACGAAGAAGAAGAAAAAGAUGAUGAUGAUGAUGAUGAUAAUGAUGAUGAUGAUGAUAAUGAUGAUGAUGAAGAAGAAGAAGAAGAAGAAGAAGAAGAAGAAGAUGAUGAUGAUGAUGAUGAUGAUGAUGAUGAUGAUGAUGAUGAAGAUGAUGCUGGUAAUCAUGAAGAAGAAGAAAAGGAUAAUGAUGAUGAUGAUGAUGAUGAUGAUGAUGAUGAAGGGGAAUACCUCCUGAUGAUUUCCGAGCGAUAUCCGAACAGGGUCUCCGGAGAUCAGAGAGGGCUCACACAGCUUGAUGGCUCUGUGCAGGUCCCUCAAGUGGCCCCAUUUUGGCUGCCUCAGCAGACCUGCAGAAGAGGGAGAUGCGAACCACCGUUUUCAGAAACGAUCGUGAGAAACCGAUCCCCAUCGAUCGAUACCCCUAUAAAUAGUUCAUCUAGGGAGACCCAGAUGCCGCUGAGUGGAGUUGACCAAGCUUUUGAACUGUGUGCGCACCAUAUUCGUCAAUGGGAGCAUCGUAGUCGUAGCUGGUCGCGAUAAAGGGGCCGCCAGCCGUCCGACCAAAGUUGGUUCCUCCAUGAUACUAAAAAUGGUAAAGAAAAAUCAUAAUGUGAAUUGAGCCCACAUUUCCGCAGAGACUGGGGAUUUCAAUGACCCUGGCGUCGCAGCGUUUACCAUGUAGUAGUUGACAAAGGAUCCACCUUUCUGGAUAAACCUCGCAACAGAGAAGGCCAGAUCCUCAGCAGGUCGGUGAGGGACGGUUCCCCCAAAGGCUGUGAACCUUCAAGAGAUGAACCCACGUGAGAAAUCUUCGUCGGCAAGAACAAGGGAGCUCCUCUCUCUCUCUCUCUCUCUCUCUCUCUCUCUCUCUCUCUCAUGCCUUCAUGAGCCACUAGGAACUAUAAUUACCAGCCGGUCCAGGCUUCAGUCCACAUGGUCGGCUUGUAGGCCUGGUUGGGUGUGAAAUAGUCGCAGUAGAAGCCAUUACAGCUGUUUAUCUGCAGCAAUUUAGAUUAUUUGGUUUCCGUAAAUCAUCAGAUGCUCGAGAACAGGUUCUUGUAAAAUAAAUAAAUAAACCAGAAAUGGAAAUAAUCGAAAGGUGCUCGGAAAUCCCACAAAGGAGCGAUGGGGAUCGCAGGGCGCAGAGUACAAUCAAAAGAUAAAGGAGGCAAGCCAUGUGAGGCGGGGUCCUCAUCGGAAUGAGGAAAGAAUAUCUAAAAAAGAUGAGAAUUUGGAAAAGAAAAAGCCGCCAUAGACAUAGCCGGAGGGGUAUCCUACCACUGGAUCUGGGGCAUCGUCUUGCUUGCACAUGACCCAGGGGACGCCGGUGUUGAGCCCGACCGCCAUCUUCGCCGCCCAGUUCGCAUAAGCUCUCACCGGAGCUCCGCCAUUGUAUUCCAGCGGUCCAAGCUCAUUUUCUAUCUGCGGGAUCUCAGACCGAGCGGAUGAAUGAGACCUCUCUCUCUCUCNNNNNNNNNNNNNNNNNNNNNNNNNNNNNNNNNNNNNNNNNNNNNNNNNNNNNNNNNNNNNNNNNNNNNNNNNNNNNNNNNNNNNNNNNNNNNNNNNNNNNNNNNNNNNNNNNNNNNNNNNNNNNNNNNNNNNNNNNNNNNNNNNNNNNNNNNNNNNNNNNNNNNNNNNNNNNNNNNNNNNNNNNNNNNNNNNNNNNNNNNNNNNNNNNNNNNNNNNNNNNNNNNNNNNNNNNNNNNNNNNNNNNNNNNNNNNNNNNNNNNNNNNNNNNNNNNNNNNNNNNNNNNNNNNNNNNNNNNNNNNNNNNNNNNNNNNNNNNNNNNNNNNNNNNNNNNNNNNNNNNNNNNNNNNNNNNNNNNNNNNNNNNNNNNNNNNNNNNNNNNNCUCUCUCUCUCUCUCUCUCUCUCUCUCUCUCUCUCUCUCUCUCUCUCUCUCUCUCUCUCUCUCUCUCGUCAACAAGCAGUUCAGUGGGUAGAGUAAGCAACCUGGGCGAGGAUGAUGGGGCCUCCUUGCCACUCGAAGAGCUCCUCCGCCUUCAUCAUGUCGACGAUCUUCUCCGUGAAUUUCUCCAUCGCGGCCUUUUUUUUUCCAGGAGGCAGAAGAAAGGAACAGAAGAUCACUCGGAUCAGGCAACGCGGGCAGGGAGAGAAGAUUGAGUGUUCUUCGGGGAACCGACCUUGAAAGGCUCGUUGUCCGUUCUGAACCUGAUGCCCGGAACGUACUUCAGCCAAACCGGGAAUCCCCUGCCGCCCAAGCAAAAAAUGGGGGAGCUUAGGAUUCUUGGACCCCGAGAGCCGCCGUCUCAGAGGAAUUCUCCGCUCGGGCGGCGAGAUUCUGAUGAUUUCUUACCCGAAAUUCCACUCGGCGCAGACGUAGGGGCCAAUGCGGAGAUGGACGUAGAGCCCCGCCGCCUUCACCAGCUUGAGGAAGCGGACCAGAUCGUACCUCUCCUCGAAAUAAUACUGAAUCCAUGGAGAAGACAGUCGAUCAGGACGAACAACGGAGGGCGGAGGAGGAAACCCAACAACGAACAGCUUAACAGCGACGUGCGGGAUAAGAAAAGGGAUUACAUUGCCGGGAGUCGGCUCGUGCCCGUUCCAGAAGACGUAGGUCUGAAUCACGUCGAGCCCCCCGUCCUUGGCCUUCUGUAUGAGAUCCGGCCACAUCUGCGCAUCCCAAAAGAGGAAGAGGAGAAGAAAACGUCAGCAGGGAGAUGAAGGACGAGGAAUGGGGGCGAGAAGGCAGACCUCGGGGACGCUCCUGGGGUAGUGGAUGGAGCCGGAGAUGAGGAUCCUCCGCUGCCCAUUGAUCACGAUGGCCUUGCGGUCGUACGUGACUGCAGCGGUCACAGGCCCAGGGAGGAGGAGAAGGAUCCAUAAAUGCACCAGCUGCAGCAGCGGCGGCCUCACCGUCCCAGCACGGCGCAUUGCCGCCGUCAACCCCAUCUCCACCCCCGGCUCCGGCCGCCGCCGCCGCCCACCCCCUCAACCCAGGCUCCUCUCUUUCCCUUCUCUCUCUAUCCCCCCUCCUCUCUCUCUCCUUCCCUCUUCUUUUCCGUUUUAACUCCUGGGAGGAAGAAGAUAGAGAGUAGAUAGACGUGAAUAAUGCAGCAGGAUCAGCGCGCCUAACAGCGGCAGCAGCCAACAGGAGCCGCAUUAGAGGAAUCAGAAGAAGAAGAAGAAGGGAACAGCUGUUCCCAGAUCCUCGGCUUUAGCUUUUACUGUCGUCCUUUCCCAUUGCCUGCACCUUGGGCUACCUCUUCUUUCUCCGCACGCUUUCCCCUUGUUCCUCCCUCUCCGCACUCGCCAGCAGACCCCUUCUCCCUGAGAAAUCUACUCCACAGAUCACAGAGCUGGGCUUAUUUUUCUCCGGAAUAUUCGAUUUAAAUAUUUUACUUUCUACGAAAAUCUGAGCGUAGUUCGAUCUGGGUGAAGAUCCGGGGUAGAAGGAUCACACGACCGGCACGUGCAUGUCAGACAGAGAGAUAGAGAGAGAGAGAGGAGGGGAAGGGAUCACCGACCACCUGCCACGUCAGCCGGAGAUGAUGGGUCAGUAGCUUGGAGAGACCAAACACGGAACAGGCCGCAGGGCCGCUGAUGGGCCUGUCCGACGUGGCCAGAAUGCGCUCUUUAGUGGAUGACACGUAGGAUCGCGAGAUUCAAGAUGUAACAGCACGCACGGUUUCCGUCCUUUAGUAUCUGAUUGGUUGAGAUCGGUGGGGCCCGCAAUGUCCGGCUGUUCCAUUCGAAGCUCACGUGGAAAGGCGUGGGAUAUGCGGACUCGUGUGGUUUGGAGUCUUCUGUACUCGCGGAGCAGAAUACCGGAACGGCAGAGGCGGGACAAACGGUACAGGUAAGCAGCGGAUCGGUGGGGGCCACAUGCGGGUGCCGCGAAACUCAUUCGGCGAUUAUUAUUAUUUUAUAAUUUAAUCCCGCGGCACGGCGAAUAGAAGAAAUGAGAGACCCGUGGGGGGUGAGGCGUCCGAGGUCGCGGUGACGUGGACGGCUUGUCCAUCUGCUACGUGCUGCGGGCAUAUCCGGUAAGGUAAUCCUCGGGUCACCAUACCCGUUAGCCGAGAUCACGCGGCUCCUAUUCCUCUUCGAAACAUAUAAAUAAGGGUGAUGGGCGGGUAGAAGAGAAGAUACCCCGCGCUCUGAGGAGGAUCGCCCCUUUUUGGUCGUCUCGUGUCCCGAGGUGGGCGACGGAGGAGCGAGAUCCAUGACGGAGGAGGGCGACGCCGGCGGGAUCUUCGUCAUCGAGGCCGCAGAGGCGGAGGCGAUGGCGAGGCGAUCGGGGAUCACCGUCCUGCAGCUCCUCCCCACGCUUGUACCCGCAGCGCAGGCGCUGGCUCGGCCGCCGAUCUCGAGGUACUGCGUAGGGGCUGCCGGAUUGGGAUCCAGCGGGAGAGUCUACCUCGGGGUGAAUCUGGAGUUCCGCGGGGUGCCGCUGAACCAGUCCGUCCACGCGGAGCAAUUUCUGAUCGCCAACGCCGCCGGCCGCGGCGAGAGGCGGAUCAGCCACAUCGCGGUCUCCGCCGUCCCCUGCGGCCACUGCCGGCAGUUCCUCCAGGAGGUGCGCGAUGCGUCCGAGAUCCAGAUCCUGGUCACGUCCGACGGCCCGGGGGCCGAAUUCCAGUCGUUGUCUAAGCUCAUUCCCCAUCCUUUCGGUCCCCGUGAUCUCCUCCACGAGGACUGUCCCUUACUGAUGGAACCCCGCGAUAGCAACCUUGUUCUCGUGGAGGAAGCCAGCGGGGGGAAGCACGAACUCGCUGCUUGCAAUGGCAGGGCCUCGCUGGAGGCCAAACUGCGGGCUGCAGCGCUGGAGGGGGCGCGGAUCGCGCAUGCGCCGUACAGCGGUUGCCCGUCGGGAUUUGCGGUGGCCGACGAGGAAGGGAGGGUAUACGGCGGCGGCUAUGCCGAGUCAGCCGCGUAUAACCCAAGCUUGGGACCAGUGCAGGCGGCGCUGAUCGCCUAUGUGGCCAGGAGCGGACGCCGCAGCGACCGGGGCGAGGACGGAGGCUACGACAAGAUCGUGGGGGCGGCGUUGGUGGAGGAGGAAGGCGCGGUGGUGUCCCACGAAGAAACGGCCAGGAUGUUGAUGGCCGCGGUAGCUCCGCGAUGCCGCCUCGUCGUCUACCGAUGCAGAGCCGGUUGAUCCCUCCCCACUCCCGUGGUCGGCAUUCUCUCUGCGAACCGCACGUCUCCGUCCUCCAUUCUUCCACCUCUCCUCUCCGAUGUGUGCCUUCUCAACCUCAACCACCUGUAUUAGAAAUGGAGUGCGCCCCACUCGCAGCAGCACCAUUAUCGACGGCAGCGAUGCGACUUCCAGGUACACGCUUCUUCCUGUUGCGUCACCUUCUGAAAUUUCACCCGUUACAACGUCAGAUCAGUCAAACUUCAAUUCAAAUCCGACCCACUCCCAUUCAAUUAAAAAAAAUGAAAAUAAAAUUAGUUUAUACCGUCGAAUCAACCAGUUUAGUUGAUCGAUCACCUUCAGCCCGUUCCCUACCCACCGAGGCAGAAGAGGAGUGAACGAUGGAUCUCGCACGUCGUCCAAAGCUCGGGGGAAAAAAAACGGGUAGGUCCCACUCCUGCAGAAAUUAUGAUAUAUAUCCCCAUUUUCGGAACGGAACGGAAAUAAAUAAAUAAUGCAUAUUCCUCGAAUUUGUUGCCCUCGAUGCAGGUGGAAUCCAUUCAUCGGAAUGAAGAAGAAUGAGGUUUUACACAGCCGGAGAGAAUCCCGCACGUGCGGGACGGGUCGGUGGCAGAGCCCGACUCGGCGAGUCCUAUUUAUUGGGAAUCGGAUGCCGGAAAUCGUCGAACCUCGGAUUGACACGGUGAUCUCCGGGGGCGGCUCUACUGCGGCUGAGAAGGCGAAAUCGGAGGGCGCAUUUCUGGUGGAGAAGGAGACGUGAGGGGCUGGAGAGGAAGAGGACUGGGAAGGGGAGGAAAUGGGAGGAGGGGAGGAGAUGGAAGUGGGUUGCAGUAGCAGUGGGAGCAACGGGGAGAAGGAGGUCGUCGGUGGGAGGAGAUGGGAGUGGGUGGGGAAUUUCCAGAGGGAUCUUCUGGCGGGGGCGGUGAUGGGAGGGGUGGUGCACACCGUCGUGGCGCCCAUCGAGAGGGCGAAGCUGCUGCUCCAGACGCAGGAGAGCAACGCGGCCAUCGUCGGGAUCGACGGGCGGUCCAGGAAGCGGCGGUUCCGGGGGAUGGUCGACUGCCUCGCGCGGACGGUGAAGGAAGAAGGUGCACUCGCCCUCUGGCGCGGCAACGGCACCGGCGUCAUCCGCUACUACCCCUCCGUGGCCCUCAACUUCUCAUUCAAGGUAUCCUCCUUUCUCGCCCCCCACCCCCCCCCCAAAAUACUAUUAAUUUAAUUUCUGCCUUCUCAAUCAUCGAUCUUCUUCGCAUUGUUUGUUGUACAUUGCGUACUGUUCUUAGUAGGGUAAACUCUAUAUUCGACCUAAAAUUUUUCUUUCUCUGGCAUCCUCAUCGAUCACUGUUGACCCGAGCUAGGGCGUGAUGGAUAUUUUGAACAGUGAUCUAGAUCGAAAAGAGAGGUGGUUGACUUGUUUUCCUGUUUGCGUCAUUUCGAGGUUAUUUUGAUUUGAGGAUGUCGAAGGAAUCGGCCUCAGAAAACCAGAUUAUUUUGGUUGGGUUUUUCAUCGAUCGAGGAUAAAUCGACCCGGAAUUUUAAAUUUUCCCCCAAAAUGAAGUUGAACCUAGUUAAGAAAAGCUGCACCGGUGAGGUGAGGCGCAGUCGUUGACUUCGAGCCAUUGAUGUCAUGGGUAUGCUGCACCAUUUCACUCGAGCGCACUAUAAACAUUGAUAGUUACUGAAUUAAGAAAAAAAUCACACAAACCCUUCCCAUAAAUCACAGGUUGAAGGAAAGACUGAGAAUUCUGUUAUAUGGAUCAAUGGUGUAGUAUCCUAGAAGGUGCGCGAUGAAGAUGGCUUAUCCAAUGGGCUCCCUCCCUUCAUGACGUAGCUUCUAGACUUGGGCAUCAUCUUCUUGAAUUUCCGUCUGUGUUCCUUGAAUAGAGCGCAUCAUCUACUUGAAUGCCUUCGGGUGCUGGUCGACCUACUCUUCUAUACUCACUCUGGCCCAUUCUUCCCCCCCUCCUCCCCAAGCAUUAGUCCCAGGCUUGAUUGUGAGCAGCCGAGCUUCAUUCUCGUCUCAUCCCAAAAAUAGUUUCAAGUGACCCUUAUCUUUAUUUUACGUCAAACUUGAUUGUGGACGUUCAAAACUCCAUUAUCGUCUCAUCCCGAAACAGUCCUAGGCCACCCUUAUCAUAAUUUUAGAUCCAGCCGGUUGAGCAUGGUCAUCAGCCUGACUAAAAGAAGUAAGAAUCCUGUGAAACCCGGAUCAUUAGUUGGCAUGGCCACAGACACUGGUUGGACUCGUUGAAGCCCCCCUUGUUCCCCACAAUUACAUCAUCUCCAACAUCGCCUCUGUUGAAAAGGAGCUCGUGGAUCCCCCAUACAUGGAAGUAAAUGGCGUGAUGCUGAGACGACAAGCCUAUUUCUGUCAUGAUGUUUUACUCCAUGGACAGUUGAAGGGAUGUGGUGCAGAUAUGGUGAUUUUGUCGUAUGAUUCUUAACUCGCUUAUACUCCACAAUAGGGUGUUUUUAGUUUUAUUUAUUUAUUUUGACAUCUAUGCAUUUCUUUGAAGAUGCAGGGAGUUAGAAGAAAGUAAAAGGGGAUAUAAAACAAUUUAGUUCAUUAUUUAUUUAUUUAGUUAUGGUUUUCGGCAUAAAUUUUUCAUGGGGCAUAUAUCAUGUUCUGAACUUGGUCUUCACAUAGUCGUGACCCAAAUACUCGGAUCAUUCUUUAUUUUAUAAAAGAUUUAGUUCCAGACUUGAAUCACAUUUUGAGUUAAGGUUUUGUCUUGUUGGCUUCCCGGGCUUGAGUUGACUUUUUUUAACCGACCCAGAUCUUGUCCUCCUCUAUGGACCCCAUAUGCCGCGUGGGGAAUUGGCCUUAUCGGCCAUCUGAGCAGUUCUGCUAUUUCAUCAGUAUUAAUCUGAUGCAAGAUGCAAGAGCUCUUAAUCCGAAUCCAAUUCGGCGAGUCAACGUUUCCUAUCACCUCACUAUCUCCAUCCGGACUUUUUUCAGUCGUUUCUCCACGAAGACAUCGCUUCCAAUCUAAUCAAGCAUAAAUUACAUUGUGCAGGAUCUUUACAGGACGAUGCUGAGGAGCACGGUCCAGUCCCAAGACGACAGCAGCCUGAUCUCUGGCGCAGCCUCCAAUUUCGCCGCCGGGGCCGCCGCCGGCUGCACAACGCUGAUCAUCAUCUACCCGCUCGACAUCGCCCACACCCGCCUGGCGGCCGACGUCGGCACCGCCAACUCCCGGCAGUUCCGCGGCAUCUGCCACUUCCUCCGCACCAUCCACGAGAAGGAAGGCGUCAGGGGCAUCUACCGGGGCUUGCCGGCGUCCCUCCAGGGGAUGAUCGUCCACCGGGGGUUCUACUUUGGCGGCUUCGACACGGCCAAGGAGCUCCUGGCGCCGCCCGGGUCGCCGCCGGAGGCGCCACUCUGGCAGCGCUGGGCGGCGGCGCAGGUCGUCACCAGUGCCGCCGGCAUGAUCUCCUACCCACUGGACACCGUUCGCCGGCGCAUGAUGAUGCAGUCCGGCAUGGAGGAUCGCAUGUACCGCAGCACCGGCGACUGCUGGAGGAAGAUCUACAGGGCGGAGGGCGUCGCCUCCUUCUACCGAGGGGCGGUGUCCCACCUCUUUCGGAGCACCGGGGCGGCCGCCAUCCUCGUCCUAUACGACGAAGUCAAGAAGUUCAUGGAGUGGGGCGGCCUCUGACCGCCGCAGCCAUGGCGGCGCCGCCCGAGUAGCACCAUUUUUGGAUAGACGGGAUUUCAUUGAACAGAUUGGUCCGAUAUCCACCACCCGCCUGAGAAUCGGACGAUUUGGGAGACUGCCGCUGAGAAUCAAGCAUGUAAUUGAAGUGAACCAAGUGGGUCAGCGACCAGCUGGUCAUCCGGACCGUUGACUCCUCAUCUCCGCCAUGAUAUGAUCCGGGGAAGGGGCACCGGGAAACAUGCAUGUAAUUGAAGUGAAUCAAUUGGGUCAGCGACAAGCUCGUCAUUCGGGCCGUUGACUCCUCGUCUCCGCCAUGAUGUGAUCCAGGGGAAGUGAUGCGUCAACGACGUGCUGGUCAUUCGGGCCGUUGACUUCCCACGUCCUCCAUGAUAUGGUCCGGGGGAGGGGCGCCGGCCGAGAAGCCCAGCCUCCGCAUCAGGUCCUCCAAUCGCUUCACGUCGGUGAGGUAGAGAAACCCGAUCUGCCGAACGGAUUCAGAGGGCGAUGAGCUCCACAUGCGGGGCCCUUCCUUUCUUUCCUCAAAUAGAAGGAUCUCCCGCUGUGACGAGAAGAGCGACGAAGAAGAAGAAGAGGAGGAGGGCUCCUUACGAGGGUUUCGAGGGAGGACGCCCGGCCGUAGACCAGCGCGCCGGCCCGCUUCUUCGUCCGGGUCUUGCCGGACGCGAUGUUCUUCCCCCACCGAAGGAUGUCUCUGCGGAGCAGAGCGUUUCAAUGGCGGAGUCUCAGCUCUGCAAGCGCAUGGGGAGAAGGCUCUGGCCGGUUAGGGUUACCUCUCUUGCUCCGUUAGGUAGUCCUCGUUCAUCAGCUUCUUCAGCAGUGCGUCCUGGCAGAUCGAGUGCACACGGGAAAACGAGUAAGAAGAAUGGGUCUAGAGAGAGAAAGAGAGAGCUUCCGAGUACCCCGUCCGGACCUGCGCUUCGCACCGUACGAUCGCCAUCACACGCUCGUUGUACACGUCGAUGCUCUUCGGGGGGAACAAGAAGUGCCUGCGGGCGUAGAGCUGCAGAGAGAAGAAGGCCCACAGCCCGAUGAAAACGGAGAAAUGGAAAGCGCUGCGGCGCGUUGAAUAAUCGCACAAAGUCAACUGCUUUAGAAGACUUUUUCUAUAAAAGCAUUCGAUUUCUAAGAUAAUUAUCCGUUUCCGAGAAAGAACACGUCUUCUUUUAUUCAAGCCGGCGGCGCUGAAACUGCAGACGACAGGUAAGGAUUCUGGGGGAGCAUCAAAAGAGGGAGAAAAAUGGGCAAGAAGAGCCACUGUGAUUAGACACUGGUCAACGCACAAGCCCGAAUAGACAAGGCGUCGAACAGGAAAUGGGUGGCGCGAAGGUCAAGACCAUGAAGGCUGGCUUUUGACUUUGAGGGCAAACCGCCGUGGCCCCAAUACCUCGUAUAUGCCAUCGCCCAGGUAGGCCAAGGAGGCCGCAUUGUAGAUCGAUCUCGGUUUCUUCACCUUCGGCGCGGCGGGCAGCCACCGCUCGUACCCCAGGUAGAGCUCAUCCGCCUUUCCUAAUUAAAGCAAGAACUGAGGUUCAGGGCAGGACCGUGAUGAUAAACAACAUAUCAAAGGACGGGCAGGUUCUAGGCGGCGCAAGAAAACCCACCCACCACCUGAAACAAACCAUUCCCAUCUCCAUAUAAUCACAUGCUCAUCAAUUAAAGUGUCUAAAUUUGAGUUCAUCCGGUUGGGGCAUAUUCACAAACAGGUUAUGGGUGCAAGUCAUAAACCUUGAGUAGUACGGGUACGGUUGGAGUUCCAGAGCUGGGAUGCUGGGAGCUCCUCUUUCAUGACGGGAGCCACUGGCAAAGUCGCUGUAGCCGUCGCUGCCAUCUCCGGUGGCUGAGAUGCAGGGGGGGAGGAAGGCUUGGGGGAUUUGCCGGCAUUGCUGAACUUGCUCGGUUUGGGGCUGGGAUUCGUAUCCCACGAGGCUCUGCACAGCAAGUGAACGGACGAAACGGUGGCGACUGCCAUUAUCGUCCGCCUCUUCCUUCCCCUCUCCCCCUGCUCAACCCCAGCGGCGGGUUUUGCUAAAUUGGGAAACCUCCGGCGACCACCGCAGAGCCCUGGAGGACGGCGGAAGCGUCGCAGCAGAGAGGGAGAGGGAAGGGGAGAGAGGGGGGGGCAAGCGGAUGACCUUGCUCGGCUUCCGAAAUCGAUUCUCGGGAACGCCACGUUCGCCCCACGCAGCGUUUGGGAGGAAUCUCAGCGCUUUUUACUCCCACUUUUCAUUAAGUUUAAUAAAAAAAAUGCCUAUAUACUUACCCUAAAAACAUUACGGUUCAUUUUUUUAUUUUCUCCACCUCCGCUUUCACACGUGUGCCCCGGGGAGUAUUCCCUAUAUAAUUUCAAUUAAUAAAAAAAACCAACCGCCUGAUAAAUAAUGCUGAUUAUAACAGUCAAGUAAUAGAAGGGGAUCUUGGUGAUAAUAGCACAUGAACUUUAUAAAAUCUGCAUUCUAUCCAUUUUAUUUAUUUUUAACCCCGAUUGGGACCAGCAACCAGAGAAGGGGGGAAAGGAAAGAGGGGGGAGGCAUUCAAUAAAAAAACCCUCCUACAUUUCAGGAAAAAAAAUGGCUAUUUUUAGAAAGAAACGCAUUCAGAUGAACACGACGAACCCAGAAGGGGGAAGCAGCUGCCCAUCUCAGUCCUUAAGAUCGUUGACCCUGACACACUGUUCGUUCACUCAAUCCAUUCAAUGUGUUCUUGAUCACUCUACGAGGUUCUUGACGCAGUAUGCGGCUAUAAGGAACCAGGCCAGGAGGAGGGAGGAGAACAAGGCCAGCCCCAGCAGAAAUGGCCAGCCGGCCACGAGGGCGCCGAGGCAGAGCACGGCGAAGAAGGGGAAGAAGGAGCGGACCAUGGCGGCGCCGUUCACCCACCGCCCCCUCCACAGCACCAGGGCCGCCACGUUGACCAUGUUCCACCGCAAGGAGCCGCCGUAGGAGAGGCGGUUCAGGCAGCCGGCGACAAAAGAGUAGCAGCUGCAGGUGAAGAGGUUGUAGAACUUGUGCUCGAAUUGCCGCGCGCUGGCGUGCAGGCCGUCGUCCCAGGAGACGGCGGUGCCGAGCUCGGCGUGCCGGUGCGCCUGAUUGCAGGAGUGCGAGGCCAAGUUGCUCGGGAAGCAGCACUGCCCAGGAGCAAGAAAGAAGAAGAAGAAUAUAUGGCAAGCGAGGCGAUCCAAGGAGGAGAAGGGAAAAUGCUACGGCAGCAGAUAGAUGACCCCAUUUAAACUCAAUUCAGGAUACUAAUUGGCACGCUACCCAAUCCAAAAGCACAUAUUUUUCAUUUAAAUAUUUUGGUUGGUAUUCUGGAGCCCACCCUUUCUCAUUUAAAUAAUUAAUUAUUUUAUCGCCAAUAUUAGCUCGCAUAAGUUUACUGCUCUCGAGGUCCUGUCUCAUUUUUAAUAUUUUACUACUUUUCAGAGGCAGCCCAAGAAAGAGGAAGAAAGAUCCUGGGAUGGCCGGUGGACUCUCACCGCGUCCCAUAUAUCCCUAGUGGUCAACCAUUCCCUCCAGAACUCAGCAAAUGUGACCUAUAAACGCAUUCAUAAGACCGUUUCUCGAUUCAUCUCAGUCAAACGCUCCAUUGUGAAAGAGCAUGGAAGUCAACUUAAGGCUGAUUUCCUGCCGAAAUAUCCUCGAUAGAUCAAAAAAAUCAUUCCACAAACUUUGGGUCGAGAAGAAUUUUAUCCCAAACGAAUACGAUAUUGAAGCAUUUGCAUCUGCAGGAGCGCCCAUAAGGUAUCUGAUCAACCCGAUCAAACGCUUGAUAAGCAGUAUGUGCAUCGAAUUGUGGCUGGAACCCUUUGAAUUCGCCAAGGAAACGAGACCCACAACAAGAGAUCACCCGACCAUGAAUUACAGAAACAUAUGAAGCUUAACAGCAUUUUCUCCUUCAUUUGGGAACUGUACAGCACAAAAUUUUCAAAAGGCUCGUCUGUAUUUCCCUGCAUCCUUUUUAUGCUCAAAAACUUACUUUGAGAAAUGUUUCUCGAUUAUAUACAUCUAAGAACAUUUAUUGAACAAGAAUACCAACGCAAAGAAAGCUCUACAGUAUAACGAGCGACUUUGGAGAAGUAAAAUGAGACUAACAGAAAUGGAGGUACUCAAUGAUAAAGGUAAACCACAGCGAAAGAUGAUGAGUACCUGUUCUCUGUCGAGCUGAAGAUACCUGGCAACUGCGCCAUAGGCGAAGUUGUCUACGGUCACAAGAUUUGAGCCUGAAAAGUCCAGAAUAGCUCCAUCCUCCCGACAAAUUCCAACGUGACCAAUGUAGGGAACCAACCAUGAGACCACUGGGAGAGGGGCCCAUACUAUGCAGCAGGGAAAUUUUGCCUUUUUCGGAUCAAUUUCUUCAAGCGGCCAUAGAUCGUAGCUAACGUCCAGCGGAGAGCCGAGAAUUCCAGAGCCAACAGGCAUCUUCAGAUCGAUGAGGGUUCUUCUACAGGACGUUUGGAUUCACAAUCUCCACGGGACCGAAUUCGCAAGAGCCCAAGCCAUACAACGAUCUGCGAGACGGGAAAAUCAGCAAAGUGGAAUCUAAUGCAAGGAACUUUGAUCGAUUCCCAAAGAACAGUCUCAAAUCGAAUCCGCAUUUCCGCAAACGUCAUGUGGGCACGAAAAGUGUGUGAUAAGGAAUCAAAUCUUGCGCGAGGGUUAUGAGGUCGAGAGAAGGAAAUCAAACUUCGCCUUAAAGAUGAUGCGAGCGGGAGAGGGAAACUGAAAUUUGAUAGUGGGAGACACGAGACCUGACCUUGUCGAGACGGAGUUCCCACCGACACCAUCCCCGCUGAUGACCCCCCCCCCCCGCCCGAUCGCCCACUACAGACUCCCAAGCCGCGGUAGGGGCCUCAGAUUAGACCAAAUUUCACAGGCAUAGAAAGAGGGGUGGGGAGAGAGAGGGAGAGAGAGAGAGAUGACGUGAAGACAAAAAGUACUCGUCAUGACGUCUUUGCGAAUUCAUGGAGCAGUGGAGACGUGACACAUUUCUGCCGAGUGUGGAAGAAGACCACUGGGCAAGGGAGUCGACGGCGAUAAUGGCGAGGUGCACUGUAGCAAACUCCUCCUGCCCUAAUUAAUGCAAUUAGAACAAUCGGAUCCGCACGAUCACCAUUCCCUCGUCAUUCCACCAAAUUAUGGACGAGCCAGCACUUGGGAGAACCGAGCGGCCGGAGAUGCAGCCCACCGGCGGAGUUGCAGCCCGCCGCCGGCGCCCCUUCGGCCUCCGGCGAGGAGGGGACGAGGAAGAUCGAAGAGGGUUGCUCCUCGGUCACCAUCGCCUUUCCUGUAGUGGAUAAGAAGAAAGUGCGUCGAAGACGGUCAACAUUGCCUUUCCACGUGUCCGAUGCCGAACACGCUUCCUCGUCGUGCGGGCCAGCUCACGGACCUCGUUGGCCCAUUAGAAAAUGGGCCUCGAUUCCGAUCUUGGGUGAGAAACUGAUAGUACAGAUGUCGCGGCCCAGGCCCAAUACCUCUCUCUCUCNNNNNNNNNNNNNNNNNNNNNNNNNNNNNNNNNNNNNNNNNNNNNNNNNNNNNNNNNNNNNNNNNNNNNNNNNNNNNNNNNNNNNNNNNNNNNNNNNNNNNNNNNNNNNNNNNNNUCUCUCUCUCUCUCUCUCUCUCUCUCUCUCUCUCUAGUGACCUAAUAAAGUGACAUCCUUGAUCACCUAGAGAGAACGUGCCUUAUUUUUCCUAAAAUGAAGGCAUCAUUUUUUUAUUUUAAUAUGAUUAGUUAAAAUCAUUUAGUUAUUGAUAGAAUAUUUUUUAAAAGGUGUGGCUUGUGAGAACCUAAAAUGUCAUGGAAAAUAAAAUCAUUUCUAAAAUUAUAGUUUAAUGGGGAGGUAAUUUAUGCCUUUGAAGAUAUAUAUCUUUGGAUAUAAAAAACGUGUCUAAAUGCUCCAAGCAAGUAAAUAAUGGGAAAUAAAUGCUCUCAUAAGAAACAUUAAUCUUAGCAAAUAUACUAUAAUAAUUUAAAUAUUGAUAUUUUUUUUUAAAAUAUGGAGAGCUUUUAAUUUUCCAAAGUAGUAAUUUGUACUCUAGCACACAUGAUAUCGUAUUUUGAAGAAAAAUGAACAAAAUUUGGAACAUAGCAAAAAAAUGAUGAAACCCAAAUCCUUGACUUCUUGUCUAGAGCAUAAAAUCAUACUGCAUACUACAUUUCAUGAGAAUUCUAAAUUGAUGAUUGAAAAUUGAGAUUAAAAAAAGCUAAAACUUGACUAUGCCAAGGUAGUGGCUUUGAUGUACACCCAAAUUUGUGAAUAUACAUUUAACAACUUCCCACGAACCAUACUUUAGCAAGGCCAUUGUUGUAGACAACUUUUAUCUAGUGUAUUGGGCCUUAAUCCCAACAUCUCCCCCUUUUGUAUAUGUUAUAGACACACCCGUUUGACAAUUUACUGACCACCUAAUUCAAGAAAUAUUUCCCUGGUUAUUAAUGAGGAUAUUGCCUUUUUUUUUCAUAUAUAGAGCAGAAUUCAAGACGAGGACACUGAAGGUGAAUUUUGAAUAUGAAGAAUUAUCAUCUAAAUUUUGAGUCAAUAAAUUCUUCAUAUAUUUGAAUCAUCAAAGUGCAUCUCAAGUAGCGAGUAAGGUGCAUCAACUAGUAUAAGCAAGUAACUUUUCAUCAGCAACAACCAUGCCUUAGCCACUUAGGAAUGACUUUUUAUAUGUCGUAACAUGAGCACUUAUAGUAUAAUAACAUAAUUGGUCAAUCAUUACUUUUAUUAUGUUAAAAAUAGAGUGUAAAUUAUUAUUUUCCUUAUUCAUUACUAAUAUCUUAAGGAUAUUUGUCUGAAUUUUGUAUUUUACUAUUUAAAAAGUUAUUAUGAGAUGCUUAAAAUGGUGUUGUUCGGCAACUUGACUUCAUGGCCAAAUAACGAGGCAAUUAACGAACAAAAUCACCCAAAAAAAUUUCAUUUGCAUAUUUUAGAUCACAAUUCAAUCAAAUCUCGAAUUGAUGGCUUAAAAUGUAGAAAAUAAAAAAUAAAGCUCGACUUUGUGUAUAGAACUAUAGUUCAGAAACGAGUAAUACUAAUCAUACAGUUUUAAUCCAUUAUUCUUUGACUGAUGAUCAAAUUUUCUGCUCAUAAGAUACUAAUUGACCACAUAAUGAACUCUAAAGUGUACUGCCAAUUUGAAAAAUAUCGAAGAUAUAAAGACCAUCUUAGCUAACAUGAAAAAAUUAAACCCAUCCAUGAUAAAUUUGAUCAAGCAUUUGAAGCAUUGUUCAAGUUCGUUAAUUCAAGUAAGCUAAUCAGGUUUAUCACCCAUUAUCCCACUGGUUCAGAAGCAUCUUCAUCCACACAAACCAAAGUUGAAAUCACAUACAGCUUCUUGUAAGCUAAGGCCACCUUUUUAAGGACUAAGAGUCUGAUCACCGAGGCUUCAAUCCCUAGUGAGAGGGCAGAAGAAACCAAGGAGAAAAGAAUUCAGAAAAUGUGCCAUAAGAAAAAUAUGAGGCCCAAGAGCACAUAACUCAGCUUACUCAUUCAAAGGUUUGGAAUUGAUUCUGCCCGGAUAUAUUUUUUAAGAAGGGCCUUCUCUUCAUUGAGCUUGUUCUUCUCAGCGGGACUUGCAGGCUUAACCUUCCUCUUCUCCUCUAAUACCCAUUUGAAGAGUUCGCGUUGUUGACUUUCUGGGAUGGGUGGAAGCGCCACUUUGGGUGCUUCUGGGCGUGCGACGGGCAGCGGCUGGGGAGCUUCAGGCUUCGAGGUCUCGGCUGGAGUUGAGGAAACUCCAUUCUUGGCAGGAUCCUCUUCCUCCUUUCCAGCAGAUUGCUUGUUUGUAGUCCUCAGUAGCACAUAUGCUGCAACACUGCAGAUGCUUAGAUAACAGCAAGUGGCGUCCGGCUCAACAGUAAUUAAAGAUCAACGCUCCUAAAUGAUCCUUUGACUACACAGAAUGCAGACAUAGGUUUGAAUGCAUAAUUUAUACAUAGUGGACGCAUUGCUAUAAUGAUCUGGAGGCUAUGCAGAGGUCAGAUAUCACAAUGGACGAGUUCAUCUUUGAUUCCUCGUUGAAAUUAUCCCUAACAGUUAUGGAGGGAGUAUUGAACUCAAUCUUGUAUUGGGAAGAAUCCUGGAAACUUUCUGGAGUGACGUAGCAGAAACAGGGAAAUUACCUCCCCGUAAGGAGUGAUCUUCAAGCACGAUGUUGGAAUAAAAAAAAUGGAAACACAACUAAAACAGAAGAUUCUUCCUUGCUUGGAUCUGCUGCAGAACAUAGAGUUAUGAACAUUAUUCCAAUGUCUGCUCCUUCAGACCAGCCAAACACUAAUUUAAUACCCCUGCAAAUAUCUAGCGAGUCUCUGAAACUCUCAUGAAGAUCUGCAGUGACUCCUUUCCCGAAAUGGUUCAUGGCUUCCUCCACAAAGCAAACGGAUUUAAACCGAUAAUUCCAUUUUUCAUCAACGAAUCAUAGACGACGUGAGGAAGGGUUUCAAGAAAAUAGUCUGCGUGGGGUUCUAUUUCUUGGUUAUAAAGCAAGGGAGUCAUUCUUCUGGCAAGUAGCUCAAGAAUUUUUCAGUCUACUCAAGAACUUGUGCCCUCUUGUGUGGUUUGGUACUUUCAGUGGGAGAGAGGGUUUCAUUUCACCCACGAUUCAUCGAGCCAGAUCACGACUAUUUCUUGCACGAAGCUCUCCCAUUUCUCAUUUCUCUACCCCCAACGCCUGUAUUUCAUCAUAUAAAAAUUCUUGAGAUACUGCCACAGGGUCUCCAAUUUCUCUUCUGAAUUUCUAUGCAAAACAGUAUUCUAAGGCAUACGAUUGUCUUAUGACCUACUUUUUGGUCGUCAGACAGCAGAUGCUGACACCAGGUAUGAAUCCCAGGUGAAACGAACUUCUUCAGUCAGGUAGAAGCUAAAAAUGCUGCAGCAGCUCAUACUAAAAACCAUUAACGUACCUCUAAAUUAUAAGCAUAUUCCUUACUCUCAUGCAGCGGUUUCCAUCAAGCGUUUUAUGACUGUGAAUCUGCAAAUGAUGACUAGGUGUCUUCAUGAAACAUAAAUGCAGAAUCGUAUAUCAUGAUUAAACCACUUGAGUUAGGAAUUGAACUACAGACGUCCCUGUUGUUGCAGCAAUGGGUCAUGAACACCUUCUUGAAGCAAAGUUCCUCUAUAAUAAUGAGAAGAUUUCCCUCAAUCCUAUAGUGAAAUGGUCAAGGCAAAAAGCCAUUUUCAUUACAGCAUACAGAAUGGACAUGCUAAUGCCUACAUUCCUAUGUUUCCAGGUUUUUAGAUGCUUCACGUGUGGAUUGGUGGACACAUUUUAUAAGCAUAUGUGAAUAGUUUGGACUAAGAACACGAAGAUGGACGAAUAUUCCAGCUCUCGUUUGAGUAUUAAGCUUAUACUACUUUUUCCGACCGAAUGGAGAAGUUCAUCAUGGCAAUGCCAUAUUUAUACGAAGCAGGGCAAGUAGGCCGAGGACCCUUCAUUCCGAAGAACUGAAAAAUAUAGAAUAAACAGUUUGAUUCGUUAUAAAAAAGAGAAAACAAACGAAUGUGGAGAUGGCGGGAUAAGCGAUCGGAAUGACAGACCUCCGACGGCAAAAUUGACGACCAGGAGAAACGGGAAGAUGCGACGAAGGAAAGGCUUCUUCGGGGCCAACUCUGCAGCAGUCCCCUGGGAAGGCGUGGAUGACGACGGAUCCAUGGAGCCGACCGGUCGAGAGGAGCCAGGCGGUGGCGACUGAGGCGGCGCAAGCCCUCCUUUACCCUUGUUCUUCUUCAAAUUUGCUGCGCGCGAGCGCAAGAAGAACCUACAAUUAAUGAGCGAAAGGGGGCGAUAGAGAGGAAAAUAGAGAAAAAAAAGAACAGUUCGACGAAGUAGACGCGAGCCCGAGACGGGACGGCACCUUUGGAGGGCUUGUGAAGGAAGAGCUUGGGUUGAGAGGCCUCCUCCGGCUGCGAUGGCAUCUCAAGCGGGGACCCUCUUCCUCAGAGCCCCCCUUUUUCUUCUUCACUCCCUCCGCCUUCGCCGUCUCACAGCCUGGUAGGGCCGCCACCAGUCUUACUGAGGUUGAAGAAGGGUAAAACCGUAAAAAUGGGGAAAUGGGGGUAAGCCACUUUUAGUAACGGCCCGAAAUAAGUUAAGUGAUGUAUAGUUCCGGGCCGGAUAUGUCCAAAAGAGGCGGGCCUGUCCAGGGCUUCCUUGAGCCCGGCCCAUUAUCAGACCUAUUUAUUGGGCCGGCUCCCUCACUUCGCCGGCGGUGAUGGUUGCCGCCGGCGUUCCCUUCCUCGGCGGCUCCAUGGGAAUGUGCAGAAGAUGGCGGCUGGGAGUUCUCUUCUCCGUCGCCAUGGUUCUCUUCCUCCCUCUUCUCCUCUCAGGUGAAGCGAUUCCCCCCCAUUCCUCCGCUCCAUCUGGGCGGAUCUAAUUCUGACUUGUUUUCGUAGUUCUUCAGAUCUGACUGGGAGGGCUCAUUUUUCAGUGUCAGAAUUGCAUCGAGGGAAAGUUACGGCGGAGAAAUCAGUUGCCGACGUCGGGAGCGCAGUCAUGAAGGAGAGAAGCGGGGUCGUGGACAAGAAGAAAGUCGAUCAUCUCUUGUUUGGUUCUGCUGCUGGUCAAGGCCGACCUGACCGUCUCCAAUGCCAGGGUACCUUUGUACUUGAAUCCGGCUCUUGUCAUUUGCGCGGAACUUUUUUUUGUAUUUAUUUUUAAUACGAAGACUGCGAACAUUACUUUUAAGUUACAACUUGGCAUACGUCUUGUAGGCUGGCUCGAAUCCCGCGAAGUUUCGGGAUAUUUUAGACUCUUUUCAGCAGUAUUCGAGUAAUACUAGGAUUUUUUCUGUUUCCUUAUUCUUCGGCUUACUUAUCCGGGAUGUUCUGCCUGUGUUAAAUCUCCAUGUAUGUCAAUUAUUUAUGUUCGAAUUCCAUAUGGGACCUUAUGUUUACCACCGGUGGUCUAAUGCAGAAUGGCCAUGGCCUUGUGCUCUCGCGAGAUUUCCAGUUUACCUUCCGUUUUGAAUUUUUGUUCUUUUUCCUUAUUUUGGUAGAGAAUAAGCCCUAAGAUGCAUCAUCUCUUUCUCAGCUGUGCAUAUGGGAAAUGUCUAACUCCACGUUUUUUAACAUUCCUGUCACAGGAUUGAAAGCUCUGAACCAGACUUAUCAUUCAAUGCCGUCUGAAACUUUUGAUGCUUGUGGCAGCGUUUCAUUUGUUACAGUGUUUACAGUGUACAACAGUUCUGAAAGUACAAUAUCCGACAAAAUGACUGUUGGGAACACUUCCUACAAUAAAGUGGAGCGAUCCAUUGCCAUUCUUCAUACUUACAUUGACUUUAUACAGGUAUAAAGCAUCGUUAACACACAAAAUAUUGUUUUAAAUUUGCUUCGUCUGUAUAAUGGGAUGAAUCUCAAAUUAUCUAGUUAUUUUGAAAAAAUACUUUCCAGUACUCGUUUGAUGUAUAUUCUUCAUCUUUUCAUUGUGUUUAUCCAAAUGAACGAAAUUCUUACCUCGUUAAUGAGCAUUCCCACUUUGCUGGUUCUAAAAUUGGGCUAUGUCCAAAAGAAGCCUAAGUCAUAACCAGAUAGCAUACUAUGAACUUCCGAACCCUGGAAUGGGGCAACUAAAAAUCUCUUUUUCAUUUUCAUGAACUACACAUUUUUCUGAUAUCACGUUCAUCUAAUUCCCAUUACAGUUGAUGUUUUCUCUAAACACUAUUUUUUUAGUUGCUAGUUCAUUGGAUGUAAACGUUGCGAAUUUUUGUAAGAUUUAGUGCAGCCUGAUUUCCUCUUUUGCUUAUUUUUUGCAAAAUAGAGCUGUGCAGGUGUCUAUGCCACGUAGCAAUGUUAUAAUAUUGACGGAUCCUGCCUCCUCAUUCCCAAUUAUGAAGAGAAACGCAAGUUUACUGCUUAUUAAAGGAGAUUAUUCCAGAGGAAAUUUGAUGCUUCAAAGGAUCAUUUCUUACAUUGUAAGUCUUUAAAACGUUACAUUUUUGAAGAUGACCUACUCCACCAAUCUGAUUGUUUCUUUUUUUACCUCUUAAUUUUAUUCUAACACCGUUUUUUAUUUUUUGAAAGAUGGUAAUCAUAGUAGAAUUAAUAUUCAAACUAGAAUCUUUGGUUGCUAGAAGCUUAACUGAGCCAAAACACAUGUAAUUAGAAAUAGAUGAAAGCUAGUGGAGAUGGAAAGAGGAAAGAUAGAUUAACCAAAUUAUUGAGGGGCUUCUUUUCGAAUGGAUUGACCAAUUCAAUGCUAUUCGAAAUUUUAAGCAAUGGAAAGAGUUAGUCCAUAAGAGAAAGGCCAGAAAAAGAAAAGAGUGAUAGGAGAUGCUGCAUUAAAAGGCCUGAUAAUAGAGCUGAGGGAUACGAUCCAUGGUGGUCCUAGCAAUAUUGAGUGGGGCAUCAUAUAGUGGAGUGUCUGCUUAACUAGACAAGAAGAGAGUCCUAGCUGCCCAGAUGAUGCGUGUGUCUGCUCCCAUGUAAGAUGAGUUCACCAGAAUAACGUUUUGUAUCUGGUGAAGAGAGAGUGGCCAUUGCAUGUGUUUAGCCAGUGAGGGCACUGUUGAUAAUCAAUAGCCAUUGUCAAUACUUAGGGAUGAAUGGAGUGAAGAUUCCCCUGUACUUUUCAAAAAUUGUAAGCUUGUACUGAAAACGUGGGCAUGGAAGGGCUCUGCUGAUUCUUGUUUUAUCUUUGUUUUGAUUUAUAUGUUGCGUAUAAGACUAGGUGUUCGUCCAAAUCAUUUUUAUUUUAGGUAUCUAAGUAUAAUACACGCAAUUUGAUUUCUUCAAAGUGUCUUAUAUAGUGUUAAUCUCCAAUCUCUGCAGCACAAUCAUAUUCGUUUUUUGGGUUACCUUGUAAAUUAUGCUUUACCUUUAGAAGUCAAGGAAAGUGCGUAUUAAAAUGUCAUUAUCUUUCAUAAAUCAAAUAGUUUAUUUUUUUAUAACAACAGCCACCCAUAUCUUACUUCUAUAUCUCCAUUUCCAUUUCCGUGCAGGCAUUUCUAGAGACAAGGCUUUUGGAAAUGCCCAAGUGCAUUAAUCAUUUUAUUUUCACUGACUCUGACAUUGCUGUAGUUGAUGAUCUGGGGCAUAUAUUCCAAAAUUAUCCACAAUUCCAUUUGGCUUUUACAUUUCGGAACAAUAAAGAUCAGCCAUUAAAUUCUGGGUUAAUUGCAGUCAGAGGAACUCGUGAUGGAAUUCUACGGUUAGUUUUUAUUGAAAAUAUGGUAAAAAAAUAACUGUUGGCUUCUAUUCAUAAUUGAGAACGUAUUAAAUUGUACUAUUGGUGUAGGGCGAAGUUGUUUCUUCAGAGAGUGUUAGAGGUGUACACUUCUAAAUAUAUGAAGGCUUCUCGGAUGCUUGGCGAUCAACAGGCUCUUGCUUGGAUUAUGAAAUCUCAGCUUUCUUUGGGGGCAAAAGAUUUUGCCAAACCAAAGCCUUUUGUAGCUGAAUCGCAAGGAACGUCAAUACUCUUUCUUCCUUGUGCUAUAUAUAAUUGGACACCGCCUGAGGGUGCAGGCCAGUUUCAUGGCAUGCCCUUAAAUGUGAAGGUAAUUCUUGAGACAUUUCAGUCUUGGUCUCUUCAGCAUUUACUUUUGGACUGGCUUUUUCGACAGUUUCCUUUCUCAUUUUUUUGUGUAUAUUUUCCUUUAUUCAUGAAACAUAUAUAUAUAUAUAUAUAUAUAUAUAUAUAUAUAUAUAUAUAUAUAUAUNNNNNNNNNNNNNNNNNNNNAUAUAUAUAUAUAUAUAUAUAUAUAUAUAUAUAUAUAUAUAUAUAUAUAUAAAUCUAUACAUUUCUUUCUGCCACUGCUGCAUCUUCAUGUUUGUGUUCUUGUUUUUUUGUUAAAAUCUUGAAACUUUUCAUGUUGCCGGCCAGAAUUCAUAAACAAACUUGCUCGAGAAAAGAUUUGGGAUUGUCUUCAGAUGAGGUGUGGAAAGUCUUCCUAUCAUGACCUUUGCUGUUGAAAAGGGGUGCGUAGAGCAGGGUGAGGCCUGUGGGGGAAUCUGCGAGUCCCAUGGUAGUCUAUAUGCAAUUGGUUCCCUCAUCAUUUAAAAGCCGACCUUCUGGCAUGAUGAGUGAUGAAACUCAGCACCAUAUAAGAACUGUUUUAAAGAAUGGGAUAAUUGGGUAGAAGACACGUUUAAAUUGUAAGAAAAAAAUCAUCAAAACCUCUGCACUCUCUGCAUCUGUUGCUGGCAUUGUUUAAUGCCAAGUAAUUCCCUCUUAAAAGUGAUGAAUCCCACCCUGCCCCAUUAAUGUUGGUGCAUGGUCAGUGAUUAUAUUUUUCAGCUCCUCUGGAUCUAAAGUGGGGCUAAUUUAUGUUGGUGGUUCACAUGACUUAGAAUUAAUUUGUGCACUACUCAUGCAUUUUUUUUUUACCAUAAAAAGCUCAUAGAUAUUCUUAGAUUCUCAUCAUCAUCGCAGCAAAUCUUCGUCCAGAUUGUGUGAGAAUAUCGCACUUUAUUCCUCAUCAUCAAAACUUGGCCCAGGUUGUUCAUUUCAAGGGAUCAAGGAAGCGUUUGAUGUUGGAAUCUUGGAAUUUCUUCAACUCCACCUCCAACUUGCCUGAUAUGCUCUGCCUGAUCCUGCUAAGUGGGCGAACCAAGUACGAUUUCUAAGCUGCUGAUAGACUGCCCCCCCUCCAAAUCCCCAAGGAACCCUAUCUGAAUCUGUCCCCUGCCAUCACUUGUCAGUCCCCAUAUAUAUAUAUGUGCAUAUUCUUUGUAGCCAUUCAUUUGAAGCCAUUGGAAAAUCCAAGAAAUGGGUGGGCUCUGGCUGGAUUAUUGAGAAUCACCCCUUUGAAUCGGCUGAUGCGAUAGUUCACAUGUUUUGGAACUUAUUUUUGGUUCUCAAUAGCAGAUUAAAUGGGGAUCUUUGUAGAUCUCUCACCCCUGUUUGUAACAAUCACCGAUUUAUUCCAAGCUCUUGUUACAACUUUCUUCUUGUGGAUGAAUCUUUGUAUUGGCCCAAUGGAGAGGCCCUCUUGAUUGACUUUUGAUGUUGGUCAACAGUGUACUGACUAGAAGUCAUAUUGCUCGACCUCAAUUGAAAUACCUUGGGCAUUUGAUCUCAAUUGCUACAGUGACAACCAACUAAGAGAAGAUUGAAGCCAUCUUAAAAUGACCCGUUCUCAUAAACUCAAGAGAGUUGAAGGCUUUUCUUGGUCUAACUAAUUAUUACUGUAGAUUUGACAUAGGAUAGGUAGUUUUAGCAAGAUCACUCACAUAACAACUCAAGAAAGAUGGCCUAUGGUCGAAUGAUCAUGUACAGAUGACAUUCGAGCAACUAAAAAAAACCAUGAUGGCCACCAUAUUGUUAUUAGUGCUGGAUUUUUCCACCCCUUUUUUAUUAAAGAUGAGUUAUCAAGGGCUAUUGCUUAUUUUGGUUACAGACUCUUGGAAGAGAAAUUAAUAAAAAUCAACUUAUGAUCGUGAAUUCAUAGUCAUAGUGAUUUUGAUAUCUAAGUGGUGACACUAUCUUCUGGGCAAAACAAUUAUAUUUGUAUCGACUAGAAACCCCUUAAAGUUUUUUAUGGAGCAAUUCUAGAUACUUCCCUAAUACCAUAAAUGAUUAUUGAAACUAAUGAGUUAUGAUUUUGAAAUUAGGUAUAAAAAAUGAGUACUAAAUAAGGCAAUUGAUUUACUAUCCUAAGCUUUUAAAAUAGUUCAUUUGCAGGUGACAAAUAUAUAAUGGUCUCCCCAAUUAGAUGUUACCAAAUUAUCAACAAAAUUUCGAGCUGACCUUAAGUUAAACAUUCUAAACACUUUUUAAUGGAGAGACCACUAAGUCUCAUUACUCUCUCCAUCGUUCACUUCUAUAGUAUAAAGGUCACUUUGUGAUACCUUAAUAUCUUAUGGAGAAUCGCAUGUUGAAGUAGUUAUAUGAUAAGCCAAUAAGGGAUUAUGUCAGAUUCUUAAAGACAUGAAAAAUAAAAAAACAUCGUAAAAACUGAUGAUCAAGAGGCAUGUAGGUGAAUGUUAGAUUGACCAAUGUAAUAAGUUAUUUUCAUGGUUGCAAGUAAGAUCACUUCAGCCUUUUUCAUUUUGAAUUAGAUUUGAGAAGAAAUAUCUAAGGAUUUUAUUGAGGGUCUACCUAACUUUGUAUUAUAUUAUUUUAUCUUGUUAGUGGUGGACUAACUGAGCAAAUAUAGUCAUUUCAUUACACAAAAAGAUGAUCUUGCAAGAAUUUUGGUAGUCAAUAAGUUCACAAGAGAGACUGUCUGCCUACAUAAUAUUCUUAAGUUCAUAAUUUCAGGUCAUGAUUCUAUGCUCAUGAAUUCUUCUUCUAAGUCCAAGUAUAUCACAUCACAUCAUCUACAAAUCAAUAAACAAGCGAAAGUGGUAAACCACCAUGGAAAACUAUUUCCAGUAUUAUGCAUCAAGUGUUUCUAAAUCUUAGCACACUUGGCUACAUUGGAUGGAAUACAUCUAUAAUACCUCUCACCACAAUUCUAUAAGGAUAACAUCAUUUAAAUCUUUUUAUGAGAGUGAUGCCUCACCCCUAUUAUGCUAGGAAUCAUUGUCGAUUCUUAUUACAGUCUUUGAAAUACAACUACAAUCUUGGAACUAAAUCAUCGACCAUCUCAAAUAUUACCUAAAGGGACUAAAAAAUAUUUAAAAUUAAGACUGACCAGCAUGAAAGAGAUGAACAAUUUGUAUUUGACGAUUAAUUUUAUUUGAGGUUGAGGUCGUACAAGAUGAGAUUCUUACUAAAAGAAUUGAACAAAAAAUUAACUCCACAAUAUUUCGGAUAUUUCAAGAUCAUAAAACACAUCAGAGUCAUUAUUUAUUAGCUCAAAUUACACAACUUUCGCUCAAUUUUCCAUUUGUCUCAAUUUUAUAAGGCCUUAAGAGCUACCAAACACAAGCAACCCCUAUUACAGGCUACCAAUAAGGGUGAGCAUAAUUUGAGCUAUUAAACUAUUGAAGAAGCCUCUUUGGAACUGAUCAACAUCAUUUAAAAAUGAUUUUCAAAGUUCCACCUUAAAAGACAAAGUGUUGAAUGGAGGGGGGGCCUAUUGAUACAAUCCCAAUUCACAUGUAUUUUCAAAGGAGAAAGAGACUGACCCAAACAAGCCAGCCCAUAUCAUAAAUGGGUCAGCUUGGGGGCCCAAAAGGGUUAGCCUAGGAGAAAGAGUGACAUGUUAGGGAGGGUUAUAGGGGCCAAACAAGUAAAGGGAAAGGGGGGAUUUUUUUUUUUUUUGAGUCUGUGGGAGACAUGAAGGCCUUUCAAAAGUACUUAGGGCUAUUCUAAGGCUCUUGUGGGUUCUCAGUCUUAUUUCCAGCCUCUCUUCUUGUUGUACUGCCACAAGCUCACAUUCCCUUGUUCUCAAUCCCAUACUAAUCCUAAAAGGCCAAUUAGAUUGGUGAGGUUGAUCUAUCGAAUUUCAAGCCAACCCCAUCAGUCGUUGACAAUAUUUUCGGUACGUCCUUCAAAUCUUAGAAUUGCUUUUUUUUUUGGUUAAGAUUCAGUUACUGAUUAACCUCAUCUUCUUCAUACAUUGUUGUUGAAGGUGUGUGAUUAUCUUUACCGUUUAUGAACUGUACUAUAAUCCUAAUGGACCGGGGUGGAUCUUCGAGUUCAUCUAUCGAAUUUCAGGCCUUGGAUCAGACCCCAUUAGCCGUCGACAAUGUUUUUGCUCUGUAUUUUGAUCGAGCUCAUGUUUAUCUGUUGAUUCGAAUUUCAGGUCACAAGAAGCCAUUUCUCUCUCUCUCUCUCUCUCACACACACACACACACACCUGCAGCGAUCGAGAGUGAACACCGGCGGACCCGCGAGGUCCUCACCGGAAGUAGCAGUCUCACCCAGUUGCUCUCCCACCGGGGAUUAGGUGGAGAAGAUCGGGCCAGCAAGGUAGCCGUGGGGUCUCCCUCUCCGCGGCCUCUUCCGUCCAGAGGGGGAGCUUCUGGUCGGCCUCUUCCCGUAUCCUCUCAUGGCGGGGGCGUCGUCGUCCUCUUCCUCACCGCCCAGUUUGCCGCCGGCGGAGGGAGCCGCUGCCGCCGAGACCGCGCGCAGGAAGAGAAUUCUUUCCAGCAAGCUCUACUUUGACGUGCCUCCGACCAAGGUACAGCGCGAGCGGAGCAGUUUCUCUGAUCGUCUUCUCUCUGCAAAAUUCAGAGAUGCUCCUCUGUUCAACACGGAAUUGCCCUCGUCGUUCUGAUGACUACUUCGUUUCCAUGGCACGGGUGCCCCGGUUUCAGGCUCCGGUGAUUUACUCAUCUUCUUAUGACAUCGCGUUCAUGGGGAUCGAGAAAUUGUAAGUUUUUUUUGCCUCGCGUUCAACACAUUUCGAUUUCUACUCGUCUUCUUGGUCUGACAUAUGCUGUUCCCUGCAUUUUAAUUAUCUUUUCCAUGUCUUUUUGGGGUUGCUAUAAUUUUGAGUUUACCCAGUGAAUCCUCUACCCGGGUCAAGAUUAUCUGUCAGCGGUAGUUCUUGAACUAUGGAGUCAUGAUGAUCUGCCAUUAAACAUGGAUGGAUGGUUGAAUUGGUGGAUGAGUCAUGAUUAGCUUGUGGGUGCUCGGGAGAAUCGCAAUGGGCUUCCACUUAGACGUUGACUUUUCAUAAAAUCUGGAUUAAUAUUGGCAGAAAAAUAAUGGAGGGCGGGGAUCAUCCAUCAUCCCCUGCUGAUGUCUCUACCAUAAUGGAGCAGCUGCACAUAGCAGUAGGCAUCCUAUUAUUUCUUAUAAGGGAUCAUGCCUCUAGUCCCCUUUAUCUCUUUAUUUACUCCUAUCAUCAAACAUUAGUACACAGUUGAGUUUGGCAUAUUUUUUUAAUAUUUAUUUGGAAACUUGAUCAUGAGAUUAUAAUUUAUGAGAUGAUUUGGCACGAUCUCUCUUUUAUCACUAGGCACCCGUUUGAUUCCUCAAAAUGGGGUCGGAUAUGCCAGUUUCUCAUCACCGAUGGAAUCUUGGACAAGGGCCGAAUAGUAGAACCACUAGAAGCUUCAAGAGAAGACCUACUAGCGGUACAUCCUCCAUUUCUUAAUGGCCCUUGUCUUCAUCUUUUCAUAAAAGAACGCAUCUUGCAAGAACCAGAGGGCUCAGACCCGUGAGCCUGUCAGAUUAGUAUUCUCACGUUCAUGCCUGCAUUUUUUUCUUUCAGGUUAGUGACAAAUUAUUAUGGUUAUUUCUCAUUAAAUAUUCCCUUGUCAGCUCUAUAUUAGUGAUAUAUACCUCUUCUUAUAUUAUUCGAUAGAAUAAUAUUUAUUUAUAUUUUUUUCUAUCACGGAGGGUGAAUAGGUUUUCUUGACAGGUCCAUUCAGAAUCGUACCUGAACAGCCUCAAAAGCAGCUUAAAAGUUUCCAUUAUUAUUGAGGUAACGUAUUGCCAUACAAUGCACAUCAGAGGCACUGAUGUUUCCUGCAUUGUUCUCCUGACUAAAUUUUUCCUGAAAACCAUAGAAUCUAGACUUUAUUUAUUUUUUCCUGAAUAAUUUAUCUUGCAUAUCAAUUUUUCUUUUCCCAGAAAUGGCUUGCAUUGUAGAGCUAAAACUUUUGGGUACUCUAUUAUCAUGCUGUUCUACCUUGCGAUCAAUUAAACAAACUCUUUUGGUAUCUUGGUAACCCGUCAACUAAAAUGCCAGAUAUUAACUCGUUCUAAAAAAAAUAUGGGUAAUUGAUUAUUUUGGAGAACAAGUGGGUUGACCAUUAUUUUGGAAUAGCUGACUCUUGGAUCUUUAUUUGGCAUGUUCUUGUGUUAGGUCCCUCCUGUUGCAAUGCUGCCCAAUUGUCUGGUGCAGCAGAAAGUCCUCUACCCUUUCCGGAAACAGGUCAAACCCUUUUAUAUCUCACUAGGCCUGCUGCAUCUGGGGCUUCCCUCUGGUGACAUUAAGACGUGGAGGCUUUCAGGUCGGAGGCUCCAUCUUGGCAGCGAAGCUGGCCAAAGAACGGGGUUGGGCCAUCAACGUUGGAGGUGGAUUCCAUCACUGCUCAGCAGAGAAAGGCGGAGGGUUCUGUGCAUACGCCGACAUAUCCCUCUGCAUCCACUAUGCGUUCUCUCGUUUGAACAUUUCCCGGUGGGCGCUCUUCUGGCUUGAUUUCUUCUCCAGAAAUGCCGAUUUUUACUCUCUUUGCUCAUGAUUUUUCCCUUAUUUCUUCUCUAGGAAUGUCAAUUUUUUCUCUCUUUGCUCAAGAUUUAGCCUCUGUUUCUUCUCUAGAAUUGCCAAUUUUUACUCUCUUUGAUCAAGAUUUAGCCUCUGUUUCUUCUCUAGAAUUGCCGAUUUUUACCCUCUUUGCUCAAGAUUUAUCCUCCAUUUCUUCUCCAGAAUUGCUGAUUUUUACUCUCUUUGGUCACGAUUUAGCCUCUGGUUCUUCUCUAGAAUUGCCGAUUUUUACCCUCUUUGCUCAAGAUUUAUCCUCUAUUUCUUCUCCAGAAUUUCUGAUUUUUACUCUCUUUGCUCAAGAUUUAGCCUCUAUUCCUUCUCUAGAAUUGCCAAUUUUUACUCUCUUUGCUCACGAUUUAGCCCUCUUGCGCUCACGAUUACAGGGCGAUGAUCGUUGACCUGGAUGCCCACCAGGGCAAUGGGCAUGAGAUGGACUUCCGCAGUGACAGUGAGCCUCUCCCCUUCGAUCCUCUGCUACCAUUAAUCCGCCUUCUGAUUUUUUUCUGGGUGGCAGGGAGAGUUUAUAUCUUGGACAUGUACAAUGCUGGAAUCUACCCACUGGUAAGAUGUUCUUAUCAAUGCAAAAAUCCGGCAUAUUUUUCCCCUAUUAACUACAAUUUUUUAAAAGGGUUUUAUCAAGAUAAUCCACAUUAUUUCCACGUUUUAAAAAAAUUAAUACCUAAUCGAAUCAAACAGGAUUAUGAGGCGAGGCAGUACAUCCAUCAGAAGGUCGAACUAGUGGUAAGCAUGGUGCUUGGCUCUUCCCAUCCUCUGCCUUUUCCCUGGUAUUCAGCUUCAUGGGAGCUGCAUGUUCUGGACUAUUUAUACAGAGCGGAACGAAGACUGAGGAGUAUCUGGAGCAAUUAGAGAGAGCUCUUCGGGUAAAGAUUACUUUUUUUUUUCCCGAAUGGGCGGGUUUUUUUCUUCUUCCCUGGUUCAAUAUCUCCUUUUUUUUUUUUUCCUUUCCCUUUUGCUAGUGUGCCAUCAUAUGUGCUGGAGGAAUUAAUCCUUCUUGAUAGAGCUCAUGUCUGUGUGUUGACUUGAGUUCUCAGGUCGCCGGGAAUCGGUUUGACCCAGAUUUGGUGGUCUAUAAUGCCGGGACCGACAUUCUUGAUGGGGAUCCUUUGGGUCAGCUGAAGGUAAUCCCAUGUGUUUUUUAGGCUUCUCUUUUAUUAAAAUUGGGAAAAUAGCAUGCCAAUUAGCUGGGUAAGCCCUGGAGCCUGACCCUGUCCCAUUUUACUCUCUCUCUCUCUAGUUGGGCCUGGGCUUCUCAGCCCUUCAGUCUGGCNNNNNNNNNNNNNNNNNNNNNNNNNNNNNNNNNNNNNNNNNNNNNNNNNNNNNNNNNNNNNNNNNNNNNNNNNNNNNNNNNNNNNNNNNNNNNNNNNNNNNNNNNNNNNNNNNNNNNNNNNNNNNNNNNNNCCCUCCCUCUCUCUCUCUCUCUCUCUCUAACAGAGUCUCUCCUGUUUCAGGGGGCUACAUGAAGUCGAGCGCUCGUGUGAUAGCCGACUCCAUCGUGAACCUGGCGGGGAAGGGCCUGGUCAACCUGGGGGGGCCCGCUCUGUAGGGAAUGAAGGUGCUAUUCUCUUAAUGAGCGGAUGUCUGUGAAGACCCGUGACGAGGUUUCUACUUUCUAGCCCCGAGAUGUCUGUGAUGAGGUUAUAGCACGAAAGAGGCCUUUCGGGCCGGGGCCCGUGAGGGUGCCUUCUUGGGCCCGGCCCGGACCGCCCCUGGCCAGCGCUUGAGAUGGCUUUGGUGAUGGGAGAGUGUGUGGUCUACGUGCUGACGUGGAUAAACCGCAAGGUCAGAUUUUUGUGUGGCCCAUUGUAAAAGUCAACGAUUCUCUCUCUCCUCGACAGUGGCCCGCGCUUAGAGAGAAAAACUGCUGAGCAGUACCAUCAAUGACGUGGCAUCCUGGGGCCUUCAGUCCUCUUCAUCGGACCGAACCGGGUCCGGUUCAAAUGGGCCCGGUCCGGACCGGUCCAGCCCCGGCCCGCCCCCGAAGGGAGGUGCUGGUUCGGCGAGACGCAGGAGGGUGAUGAUGAAAUGAUGGCCUCUCGUCUCUCUUCCACUGCUCUCUCUCUCUCUCUCUCUCUCUCUUCUCCGGUCUUCUUCCUCCCAUCGGGUUGGAAGGAAAUCAGAAGGAGCGCUCGCCCAGUUUGCCCGCUGUGAGGCAUCGAGAUUGAACAGCGGCAGACCCACGAGGGCCUCGCCGGAAGUAGCAACGCUCACCUGUUGCGCUCCCACCGGGAUUGGAUGGAGGAGAUCGGGCCAGCGAGGUAGCCGUGGGGUCUCGUCCUCCGCCGCCGCCAAUCCUCCUCCUCCUCCGCCGCCGCUCCCCUUCCCUUCUCCGCUCUCCUCGAUGGCCGAUGUGCUUCUUCGCUCCCCCACUUUCUUCUCCGUCGCCGGCAAUCUUCCUUUCCUGCCUCCUUUAUCGUCCUCUCCCUCGAGUACCCCGCAGACGAAGCAGGCCCGGAGGUUGUGCUCCGACGUCGCUAACCCCGUGCUCUUCACGCGUCCACCCAAGAGAUUCUCUCACCUCAAGGUAUAUCCUGAUACCUCCUAACAGUGACAGGGUCAGGCUCUUUGUCGGGCAGAGAUUUCCGAAAGAAAAAUUGCUUUAUUUUCAAAAUUUGAACCCGUUGGCGUAAAUAUGAUGAAAUAAUAUUGUAUAAAAAAAGAAAUUCAACACGACUGAGUACAAUUGUAUUUCAUUCGGCUAUAAAUUAAUCAUUUUGUCGAAAUGUUUUGGAACGAAAUAUGAGAAUAAUUCCGAGAAGCAAGAACAGAGAUUAUCAUCAUGUAAUUCGAAGAGCUUAGCUAUCACGGUUGGUUCAGGACAUUCUCAGUUGCGUCAGUUUACAGAUCAGUAGGUGUGCUCUGUUCUUUCUUCAAGCUCUAGCCAUGGUAGCCUUUGCAGACAUUUAUCUGGAUUUACCAUUGUCAACUAUAUAUUUAGAUCCCCUGAAACUAUUGAUUUAUCCUCAUUAACUUUCUUGAAGUAAUCUCAGUAGUGGAUCAUGAGUCUGCAUCUUGUUAAAUAUGUGCCCAUGAAAGAGACUGCAUUUGAUCAAAUGACAAACGACUUAUUUAGCUGUGAUGAAGGUUUUUACCCGUAUUAUUUUCUCCCCAUUAUUUUUUUUAGCUAUGAAAUUUUGUAACUUGAGUAUCUCAUGUGGUUUGCUUCAUAUGCGAUCGUGGAUGUCAUCCUAGAUGUCUCUGUUGACAAUUGUUUUUUGUAAUUUUAUGAUAAUCUUCCCGGAGUCGAGUUCAAUCAGCAUGGGUUGUCGUUUUAUAUAUAUUAUGAUCAUUAAAAUUAAUGAAAAACCAAUAGGACAAGGGAAGAAUAAAAUUAUGCUCGCUUUCAGAUACUUAACCCAAUACCUAUUGCUCAACAUUUCAUUUCCGCGAGUAAUCAUAGAAGAAAAUUAUGGUUGCAGGUGCGUGCUGUUGUUGCUCAAACCGAUGAACCAAAAUGGUGGGAAAGGAAUGCUGGUCCGAACAUGAUUGACGUUCAUUCCACGGAGGACUUCAUCUCUGCACUGAGUAAGGCUGGAGAUCAGCUUGUCAUAGUUGAAUUCUAUGGCACGUGGUGUGGUUCUUGUCGCGCUUUGUUCCCAAAGGUGGGUACUCAUCUAAUUUUCUCAUGGUUUCUCCGAGAAUUUCGCAAUGGGCAUUUGUGGCAUCUGAUAUGUAUUCACUGUUCUCAAUGCUACGUACGAUUUAUCAAUGUUGAAGACCAUGAAUCAAACUUUAUGGAAAUAUUUUUUAGGUACCCACUUGGGUGCUACUCUAAAUCUUUGUUGAAAUGGUGAGCUACAAGCUGGCGGUCAUGAAAGAGAAUUAAAAUAAUUAUUUCCCAUUCAGAAGUUUGGAUCUGGGGUAUUACCUUCGGUUUAUAUUGGCUGUCAGGUUGAUAGUUUUGACCCGGAUUCUAUCCUCUUCGAGUUUGUUUCUUGUCUAAGUAGGAAAUGAAAUAAAACAUUCAGAUUCAUAGCGGACUUGGGUCUAAAACACUUGCAAGGAAGCUUUCCAUGUUGUUUGUCGGUCUUAUUUUUGGAUUUGAUGAUAUCCGAUUUGGAUACUGGCUUCAUACGCAUAAAUUUUAUUUAAUUUCUUUUUUGUUGUUUCAUGAACAUGGACUGAUAAUAGAACCUGCCAUCUCCCUUCCCUCUCAAGCUUUCUUUGAUGGAUGACUACCAUAUGAUUCCUGAGAUAAACAGAGUCCAUCUUAUGAAAUCCUUCUAUCCUAGAUUGUGGGUUUUAUUGAUAUCUGAUGAUAAGAUCCAGCGAUCCUUUCUUGCCUACGAUAUUAUUUUCUAUUUUUUCUUAAACAUGAAUUUUUCAGCUCUGCAGAACGGCCGAAGAAAACCCUGACAUCAUAUUUAUAAAGGUGAACUUUGAUGAGAACAAGCCCAUGUGCAAACGCCUCAAUGUGAGGGUGCUCCCUUAUUUCCACUUCUACCGCGGCGCAGAUGGGCAGCUGGAGUCCUUCUCAUGUUCUCUGGCAAAAGUAAGCGCUUUCCAGGCCCUUCUCUGAGCUAAUUUCAGCGGAUAAUUCUUUUAUUCUUCUGCGAUGCGUAGCGUGGAAUCCAUUCGUGUCCGGAACAGAAAAAUGAGAUCUCUUUCGGGUGGUAAUGCAUUUUCUGGGAACCCAUUCUCUUGAACACCGGUGUUCUUAGAUUAUAGCUCUCCGAGAGUGUGGGAGCUGACGCUUAAAUGUGAGAUGAGCCCUCAGCCCCGUGAGAAUUUCUGUAUUUUUCUUCCACUUGGAUCAUGAUGAUGACGGCGAUGAUGGCGAAGAAGGUUCUGAAAACUAGGGAACCGCACGAUAAAAAAAACUGGUGCAUGAACCGUCAAGCAUCCUCUAUGAUUUUUAGGUCUUGCUCUUGGAUUCGUUAUAUUUUUCUUCCUCUUGUAUGAUGAUGAUCAUGAAGAAGAAGAUUCUGAAAUCUAGAGAAACCCACUGUCAAAAACUGGUGUCGGGAAUGAUUCGGGUGCUUGAAAUUCAUCACCUUGUUCAAGAACUGCCAGGUUUCCUCCAUGAUUUUUAGGUUUUGCACUUGGAUUCGUUAUAUUUUUCUUCCUCUUGUGUGAUGAUGAUGAUGAUGAUCGUGAUGAUAACGGUUCUGAAAUUUAGAGAACCCCACGAUCAAAAACUGGCGUAGGGGAUGAUCGAGCUGCUUAAGCUCAUCACCUGGCUCAAGAACUGCUUGGCUUCCUCCAUGAUUUUUGGAUUUGGCUCUCGGAAUCUUUAUGAAUCUUCGGCCAUCCGCAUUGUCUAAUUCGACGUGAUCUGCAGUUUCAGAAGAUCAAGGACGCCAUCGCCAUGCACAACACGGCCCGCUGCAGCCUCGGCCCUCCGGUGGUCGUCGGAAACAUCCAGAACCUCCUAGAAGCCUCCGCUCCUAUGGACAAGCCCAGGCAAUGAGCCACUCCCCCGUCGCCGCCGCCGCCGCCGCCGCCGUAUCCGGCCUCGGUCUCCCUUCAGACAACUGCCCCCUCCUCCUUCCUGUAGAUGGCUGUGCUGUGGAAGAUACGCCCCCCCCCCGGGAGGGAAUGCUUUUGUCCGCCCUUCCCCGAUUUGAUCUUCCUCCUGUAAUUCCUCCGAGAGAGCAGCUUCCGACCUUCUUUUUAUGGAAACUUCCCGUCUAAUUUUCAUGGCGGCGCCGCUUCUCCUGUCGGGAAGAGACGCGGAGAGAAGAGAGCUACGAAAGAGGAGAGAGAACCCACGUCACGGCCGCCUCUAUUGUGGCGGCGGCGGCGGCAGAGAGAGAGAGAGAGAGAGAGAGAGAGAGAGAGAGAGUAGUNNNNNNNNNNNNNNNNNNNNNNNNNNNNNNNNNNNNNNNNNNNNNNNNNNNNNNNNNNNNNNNNNNNNNNNNNNNNNNNNNNNNNNNNNNNNNNNNNNNNNNNNNNNNNNNNNNNNNNNNNNNNNNNNNNNNNNNNNNNNNNNNNNNNNNNNNNNNNNNNNNNNNNNNNNNNNNNNNNNNNNNNNNNNNNNNNNNNNNNNNNNNNNNNNNNNNNNNNNNNNNNNNNNNNNNNNNNNNNNNNNNNNNNNNNNNNNNNNNNNNNNNNNNNNNNNNNNNNNNNNNNNNNNNNNNNNNNNNNNNNNNNNNNNNNNNNNNNNNNNNNNNNNNNNNNNNNNNNNNNNNNNNNNNNNNNNNNNNNNNNNNNNNNNNNNNNNNNNNNNNNNNNNNNNNNNNNNNNNNNNNNNNNNNNNNNNNNNNNNNNNNNNNNNNNNNNNNNNNNNNNNNNNNNNNNNNNNNNNNNNNNNNNNNNNNNNNNNNNNNNNNNNNNNNNNNNNNNNNNNNNNNNNNNNNNNNNNNNNNNNNNNNNNNNNNNNNNNNNNNNNNNNNNNNNNNNNNNNNNNNNNNNNNNNNNNNNNNNNNNNNNNNNNNNNNNNNNNNNNNNNNNNNNNNNNAGAGUAGAGAGAGAGAGAGAGAGAGAGAGAGAGGUAUGAUGGGUGGGGUCGGCCAUAGGUUAAGGAAGAACGGCGAAGAAGCUUCCUCACGCUAGAGCUUCAUUUAUGGCCCGGGAGACGGCUUCCUUGAAAGGCCUCUCGUCCCAGCCCUCUCCCCCCUGCGAAAAAGCACCAUCAGCAGCUCCAGUUGGUCAUCUCCCUUCUCAGUUUAUACUUGGUAGGUUUGGAGAGAGAGCGAGAGAGAGAGAGAGAGAGAGAGAGAGAGAGAGAGAGAGAGAGAGAGAGAGGAGGAAUAUCAGGAAACAAACUUCGACGUAGAACAAUUUAAAGAAACCAUGGCGCAAACUGAUCUUUUCUAGAGCGUCGCCCUCAAAAGCCUUCAGUCUAACGUGCUUCUGUCUCUAGAUGGACUUCUCAUCUCCCUUCGACAAGGAUGACGAGCAUCCUAGAGAAAUGAAACGACCACUUUCUCUCUCUUUCUCUCUCUUUCUCUCUCUGCUCGGUGCAGGUACCUCCAUUAAAGUCGAAAGAACUCUUCGAGGAAGACAGUGGAGAGGAGAACUUGAACUUGAACUUGAAGCAAAUCGGCGUACCUGGAGACGUAUCGUCAAGAUGGUCAACCUGACGGAGUUCUUCUGCCGGAGGUAGAUGCUGGCAUCUAGAGAGAGAAGGUUGACUUCCGGCCUCUCCCUGAGGAACUCGAGGAUGUGGAGGGCCAGGUCUAUCAUGUCGCACUCCGCCGGAACGGUCACUCUGAGCUCUAACACCUGCUUCCCCGAUGACGGCUCGAUGGCGGAGGUCAUCCGAAUUAUCUCCUGCUCGCCGUCCUCCUCGUCGGGAGGGAGAAUGCUCAUCUCCAUGGACCUGUUCUUCUCCUCCAGGUCGGAGAUCUGCGAUCUCAAGGCGUUCACCUGAUCGAUGGCGCUCGCCAGAACGGAGGCCUUGUCCUUCUGGUGAGAUGAAGACGGCAAAUAUUAGGGUAAGAAGAGGACGAAGACGAAGACGAAGGCCGCAGAUAUCAGGUUAGGCCGAAGAGGAAGACGCCAUGUAUUAGGGUAAGAUGACGAGGAAGACGAAGGCAGCAGAUAUCAGGUUAAGACGAGGAAGAAGACGAAGGCGGCUUGUAUUAGGGGAAGAAGAAGACGAAGACGAAGACGGAGAGAAGAAGCUCGAAGAAAGUGGUAGCCGGGGGCGUGCCUUGGUCCCCGGGGGAAGAAGCAUUCUCAGAGCAGAGAAGCUCUCGUUGAGCUUCUCCCGACGUUUCCUCUCGGAGAUCAUGUGGUGCAGCUGGUUGGUCGUCGGCCGGGAUUCCUGCAACCGGGCUUCGCCGCCGCUCAUGGGGCUGAUCCGCCGCAAGAGAGAGAAGAUCCUCUUCAUCAUCUCCUGGCCCGGCGAGAGAUUCCUGGCUUCCACUCCGGCGACGGCGGCGGCGGCGGCGGUAUCGUAGGGCUUGAAAGCUCCUCCUCGGCUUCUCCCCUGGCCAUGCCAGGCACUGCUCGUUGCAGAAGGACGGGGAGAAGAAGAAGACGAAGACGACGACAUCACCGCCAGCAUUGCCCUUACCAUGGAGGCGUCGUCGCCGGUGGGCGUCGGAAACUGGACUCCCUGGAAUUGGUCGUAGGCCAGGAUGGUCACCCGGUGGGCCACCUGCUCCACAGAAGAUGGGCUUCCCACCGAGAGAGACCUCAUCGACGACGACGAGAGGGACCGCAGGUUCUGAUCGGGUUGGAAGAACUCCCCCAGCGGGGACUGCGGAACGAAUUCUCCGGCGAUCAUCAUGCUCUCGACCCCCAUCUGCGCCGCCACCUGCAAAAACAGCCAUAUCCCAUCAGCGAUUUCAGAUCCGCAGCGGAGAGAGGGGGAGGGGGCGGGGGGGGGGAGAGAGAGAGAGAGAGCAAUCGAAAAAAGGUUCCGUUCCAGUACAUUGCCGCUUCCCGAGGGCAUCCCCAAUUCGAUGCCCCUGCCGAACUCCGCAGCCUGUUAGAGAGGGAGAGAGAGAAACAGCCAUGAAGAUCGAAAGCCCAGAAGCCAUUGACGGGAAGUCCCAAGAGGGGAGAGCGAGAGAGAGAGAAUGAGAGAGAGAGAGAGAGGGCAUACCUGGUAGAACUGCGACUGGGUCAAACCGGAAGCUCCCGAGCUCAUCGGCGACUCGUUCACCUCAAGACAGUCCAGGCCAUCCUUGAAGCCGAACCCCGGCAAGCUGCUUCAGAGAAAUCAACAACCGUGGUCUCAGUGAGAAAUUUUUUUGAAGAACUUGGAGCAAGGGGGGCUGAUCUUCUUCCGGGCUUGCUUACCCAGCCUGGUCGCAGAAGGAACUCCCGUAGGGAUCGAACGGGCCCUGCUGGGAAGUAGAGGCGGCGUAGCAGCUCGGCUGCCCGGCGAACCCUCCGUCCAUCUACUCUCGGAAGCUGUGGAGAAUCCUUCCUCUCUCUCUCUCUCUCUCUCAUCCACCGGCUGUAGAGCAAUCCGUGUUCCCCUUGUGGAGCACUCUUGUCCGGACUCCAAAAAGGAUUCGAUGGAAAGGGAUUAAGAGAGAGAGAGAGAGAGAAGGGUCACGGACGUAACCAGAUUAGUAUGUUCAUCAAAGGAACGAGAGAACUGAGAAAAGUCAACGCACGAGGGUUGAAAGAGGGGACAAUCCGACGGAAGACGCAAAGUGGGCCCCAUCUCUUGCCGUCCUCUCCCUCAACAACAACACCCCCCCCCCCCGGGGGGCCCGCCAUGCCGCGUCGAACUGAUCGAGCUGUGUUGAACCCCAAUGCAGAUGUCGGUUGGUGACGUGAACCCGGCUUGAGCCUGCCCAGCUGGACUGGAGUCAACGCCCAGAUGGGCCACUGGCAGUGCCCAGCAGGCCGGCCCACUAACACCCGUUCCUAUCCACUAACCUGGACCGAAUCAGCAGAGCAUAGAGCAACAACACGCGGAGCUGAGAGGAAGAGAAAACAAAAAGUCAAACUCACCGGAGGCUGCUGCCGCCGCCAGAGGCCGCCGACAAGGGGACCAAAGGCCGACACUACAAGUAGCUACUCAUUGACUUAAUUAGCAUCUAAACAAGAAGACAUGACUCCGUUGACCCCAUGAAAAGGGGCCUGAAACUGCAGCAAAGACGCUAAGAAAGUAUCAUCCUUAUUCCCCCAUCGCCGGCAAAUUACCCUCCUAAUUCCGGCAAUUAGAAGCCCAUGCCAUCCAUCUGCGGCAUCCGGGGCGUCGGUAGUCUGCUCUUUGCAUCCUCGAGGUCAACCACAGCCACUUCGGUCGUAGUCAACAGUAAAGAGACACUGCAGUUCAUCCAAAGUCAACGAGGUCAGAAGACAUUAACGUAAAAAUGUUUAUAAAUAUGAUGGCUUACCUGGCGGCAUCUACAAGAGCAGUUCGGAUGACCUUGAGGGGGUCUAUUAUUCCAGCCUUCACCAUGUCCACAUAUUCACCUAUUACGCCAUGAAAUAAUGUGAUGCAUUUCUACACAUAUUUUUACUUGAUAUGCACAAAAAAAGUAAAAAUAAAGCAAAAAUAAAGCUUCAAAGCCCAGUAUACAAAAAAAAAAAAAAAAAAAAAAAAACAGAACCGAGCGUUCAUCUGUGUAUAUAUCCUCAUCAGAAUAAGAGAUUUUCUAGUCGGAAAUGGAGAUCAUGAAGGUGUCCCCUUGCUCAGCCAAGAAUGUGGGGAAAAAUAUUCAGAAGCUUUUCUUCAGGUGAGAUUAAUCAAAUGUGGGGAAAAAAUUAA
rnacentral:lncRNA from 1 species